rnacentral:lncRNA from 1 species
UUUUUUUUUGUUUGGAAAAUUAAUGAGGGAGAUAGUUGAUCAAAGGGAUGCAUGAUAUAUUCCAUGUGAACAUACAAAGAAUGUUGUUGCAGAAAAGAUGAUCUGGUUGCUGGGAAAGCUAGUUAAUAUUUAAGCCCAGGGUGCGAAUUUGGCGGAAAUGCGCCCCUAUGAUAUUGAAUAUACUGGGAUGUAUAGUGUUGUAUCACAUGACGAUGCAAUAGAGGCAAAUAUGUAAAUACAUAUGAUGCUUGAAACAAUUUUGAAGUGAUAUAUGUUGAUCUGUAUGAAUGAAGGUAGUUUACCGUCAGUUGUUCAUUUUGUGAAUUAUUUAAUUGUAUGCAAUGUGUAGAGUGUUUUAUGUUAGUAUUAACACAAAGUGCAUGAUAGAAUGAUUUUGUGAGAGUAUCAUGAUAAAAUGAUUCGUGGUUAGAACUUUAUUGCAUGAGAUAUUCAAUACAUUCCACGAAAGGAAAUUUACAUCCUGAUGUUGUGUACUAAUCUUGGUCAUGCGGCAUUCCCUGGUAGUUCAUAUCAUUUUUAUUCCCGAUUGGUGGACCAAUAUGGUUGGAUCUAUACACACUAGUAGAAAAGAGGGCAAUGGCCCAGGCCAGUUCAGCCCAUUAGUCCCGGUUCAAUCCAGAACCGGGACCAAUGGAGCUAUUUGCCCCGGUUCGUGAGCCCAGGGGGCCGGCCGGGCCACGUGGGCCAUUGGUCCCGGUUCGUCCGGACCUUUUGGUCCCGGUUGGUGGGACGAACCGGGACCAAUGGGCCUGGCUCCUGGCCCACACCACUAUUGGUCCCGGUUGGUGGCAUGAACCGGCACCAAAGGCUUCCCUUUAGUCCCGGUUCAUGCCACCAACCGGGACCAAUAGUGGUGCCUAUAUAUACCCCCUCCCGCAAGAGCAGAGCACAGUGCUCUGUUUUUUUCUGGCCGAGGGGGAGAGGGCUUGGUGGUGCUCUAGCUCACCUCCUAUGCACACAAGGUGUUCGAUGGAAUGCCCGAGCCACACUACUUAAGGUUUCUCCUCUCCAAGCUCGACCGCCAAGCUCCGUAUUCCUCAAGAUUGAUCUAGGUUUAGCGGUCCGUCACGCUCCGUCCCCGUCUUCACCGCCGUCGAUCACCCGCGCCGAUCUCAUCGUCGGCACCACCGUGGUGAGCCUCUUGUUCUUAUCUUCUUUCUGAAAGGAAAAACAUUCUUACUUGUAUGUUUAGAUAGAUACUUGUAUUAUUUUCUUACUUUUAUUAUUGCAUCUUAUAUAGUGCGAUGGUUUUGGUAUCCGCCCCCAUCGGCCCUCGUCCUGUCUAUGAUUCGGAUGUGGUAUAUAUUAUAUUUUCAUAACUAUUGGUUCAUUUAUUGUUUAUGAAAAUUAUGCCGACCAACGUGACAUAGAUUUUAUUUAUCUAGGAGGUUGUUGAACCGGAAAUUCCAACCGACCCUAUUGUCGAGAGGUUAAAUUUAGUUGAAGAAGAAAACAAUUUCUUGAAGGAAAAAAUAAAAAAACUUGAGGAGGAGAAGAUGAUAUUGGAGUUGCAUGUUGCGGAUGUCGUCGAUGAUCACAAGAUCAAGAUGGAUGCAAUGCGCUUGAAGAUGAGAAAGAUUAGAAAAUAUGCCAUUCAUACCGAGGCUUGGUAUCAUUAUGUCGUUGGAUCAGUUGUUACCUUGGUUGCGAUUAUGAUCGCAUUUGUUUUCGCAUUGAAAUGUUUUACAUAGUUUCAAUGUAUGGUUUAAUUAAUUUAGAUGCUCUGCAGAGCUUUAUGUUGUUAGAUGAGAACUAUGUAUGUACUUUGGUUUUUAUGUGAUGAUGAACUUCUAUUAAUUUGGUCACUUAUAAUUAUCUAUUCAUGAUGUUCUGUAAUGAUUUUUGACACACUUAAUUAUAUAUAAUGCACGCAGAUGAACCGGUAAUGGAUGUACGGUGACAGACACACCUCCGAGUACAUUAAGGGCGUGCAUGAUUUUCUCGAAGUGGCUGAGGCAAACAAGCAGAAUGGUUUUAUGUGUUGUCCAUGCCCUAUAUGUGGGAAUACGAAGUCUUACUCUGACCGGAAAAUCCUUCACACCCACCUGCUUUACAAGGGUUUCAUGCCACACUAUAAUGUUUGGACUAGGCACGAAGAAAUAGGGGUUAUGAUGGAAGACGGCGAGGAAGAAGAGUACGAUGACAACUAUGUGCCCCCUGAAUACGGAGCAGUGCGACGACUGGAUUACAUGUGAACACAUCAGGACUUUCAGCAGUUGGUUGGAAACACGUCUCAGAGGUGACAGCACUGUUUGUGAUGAGCUGUACUUGCUGUCCAGGGGACCAUCUUCGACUGUAAUGAUUUGGAAAGGAUACGAGAUAAAUGGGAAUACAUUUUACACGAUUGACCAAGAUGAAAAGAGCACCAACCAAAAUAGCGGUGUCCGCUUUGAUGCAGCAACCGACAAGGGAAAUGACACAUAUUAUGGUUACAUAGUAGACAUAUGGAAACUUGACUACGGAGUAGAUUUUAAGGUCCCUUUGUUUAAGUGCAAGUGGGUCAAUCUGUCAGGAGGCGGGGUACAGGUAGACCCACAGUACGGAAUGACAACAGUGGAUCUGAAAAAUCUUGGGUACACUGACGAACCAUUCGUCCUAGCCAAUGAUGUGGCACAGGUUAUCUAUGUGAAGGACAUGUCUACCAGACCAAGGAAAAGAAAAGAUAAGGAAGUGAAUACAUCAUACAAUGAGCCAAAGAGCCACAUAGUUCUUUCAGGAAAAAGGAACAUCCUGGGAGUGGAGGGCAAGACAGACAUGUCUGAAGAGUAUGAAAAGUUUCAUGAAAUUCCCCCCUUCAAAGUCAAGGCUGACCCAAGCAUCCUGAUAAACGAUGAAGAUUAUCCAUGGUUACGGCGCAAUAAGCAAACGACAGAAGCGAAGAAAAAGUGAAGACUUUCUCCCGCAACUAUUAUGAUGAUACCAUGCCAACUUUGUAACAGACGAGUAUGAUACCAUUGUCCGUUUUGUACAUGCACAUGCUAUGCCAACUUUUUCAGAGUUCAUCUGAAAACUAUGAAUUUGAAAACCUCGCCAACCGAAGGGCGCUCACACCGGUUUAUAAGCCCGUCCCUCUACACGCCUUGUUGAGCUCACAAACUUGUGAUUCACACAAAUUUCAAAGAAAAUUAAUGGCACAAACAGAAAGUUUAUAAUUUUGCUGACCUAAAAGCAAAAGGAAUUAAAAAAUAAAGCAAAAAACCAAAAGAAAAUAAAUAAUGCAGAAAACAAAACAAAAACUAGAAAAAAAAAUAAAAAUAGCAACAAUAAGUAUUUUGUUGUAAGUAGAAACAAAAUAAAAUAAAUAAAUAAAGCAAAAAAGUGUUUUCAAAUUUGAAAACUAAUGGCACUAACAGAAAGUUUAUAAUUUUUCUAAAACUAAAAGCAAAAAGAAUUAAAAAAUAAAGCAAAAAACAACAAAAAAUAAAUAAUGCAGAAAACAGAACAAAACAACUGAAAAAAAUAAAAAUAGCAACAAUAAGUAUUUUGUUGUAAGUACAAACAAAAUAAAAUAUAUAAAGCAACAAAGAAAACAAAAAAAGUGUUUUCAAAUUUGAAAACUAAUGGCACUAACAAAAAGUUUAUAAUUUCUCUAAAACUAAAAGCAAAAAGAAUUAAAAAUCAAGCAAAAAACAACAAAAAAUAAAUAAUGCAGAAAGCAAAACCAAAAAAGUGGAAAAAAAUAGCAACAACAAGUAUUUUGUUGUAAGUAGAAACAAAAUAAAAUAAAUAAAGCAACAAAGAAAACAAAAAAACAAAAAAGUGCCACCUACUGGGCCCCCACGGCCUGAAUACGACUAGAAACCCUACCAUGGGCCAGGAUUCAGGCCCGCGGGAGGCCCAGUAGGCCCACAGGCAGAGAUUGCACGGUUAGGCGCAAAAGCCUACAGUUGAGAGGAGCUCGAGUGGGUGGGCGCAGCAGCGCUUAUAAACCACACUCGAGCUCUCUCAACUAGCGAGGUGGGACUAAACUUUUCGGCGCGGGGCAGCACAAGGCCUUUGGUCCCGGUUGGUGGCACCAACCGGGACUAAAGGGGGCAUUGGUCCCGGUUCGUGGCACCAACCGGGACUAAUGCAAAAGGAAUAGAGGAGAAAGAAGAAACUUCGACACGAGGGGGGGUACCGAUACCCCCUCCCCGAUAACAUUAUUUUCCCAUGUAUAUGUAUGUCGCGUCGUUGUCGAUAUAACGAGGGUGUCGAGGGUCGGGAACUAGGGUAGAGGGUCGAGGGUCGUUAAGGGGUCAAGGGUCGAGGGUUCGAGGGAUCGAGGGUUGAGGGUUCCAGGGUCGUCUAGGGGUCGAGGGUUCCAGGGUCGUCGAGGGUUAGAGGGGUCGAGAGAGGUUUCGUAGUGUCAAAGUAUUGAAGAAAUCCAUGGCUUCAUCAUUAGCCGGAAGUAACCAGGGCAUGAUGGUACGAAGUCCUCCAAAGUUAUUCUGGAAUGGAGUCCUGGAUAGGAUAAUUUGCCUUUUUGUACGAAUUUCAGCAAAGGUCUUCCAAAUAACGAUAUUCGGAAGGUUCUUGCUGAACUUUGUACCAAAAAGCGAAUUAUCCUAUCUGGGACUCCGUUCCAAAAUAACUUUGGAGAGCUUCGUACCAUCAUGCACCUGUUACUUUCGCCUAAUGAUGAAGACAUGGUUUUGUUGAAUCCUUUGACACUAGGCAACCUCCCGACCCCUCGGCGAUCCUCGACCCCUUGACCCUCGACCGCUCAGCAAUCCACGACCCUCUACCCUACCGCGGGCGUCGAUGCCCACGUCACUUGUGGGACAUAGAUGUAGUGUUCAACGCCGACCCCCUCCCGAUAGCUUCAACACGUGGGGGGGGGUCGAUAUUACCCCCUCCUUGAAGCGUUCUCGAGGCCACCCCCUAACCCUUGAAGUGUUGUCGAGGCCACCCCAAACCCUAGACAAGCAGCGUCGAGGCCACUAAUAUGAUUCCUUAUUGUGAUUAGCUAGCUAGUUCUACGUUUGCCACUAAUAUAUCCAUAUCUGUCAUGUUUGAAUAAUAAUUGCCAUGUUGUAAAUAUUUGUAGAAACUAUGGACACCCCCCGAGACGAAGCACAAGAAGCGUUGUUGAGGGACAUAAUCGCACAAGGAAGUGAUGUCGUCUGCUCGUUGAUGUUUCUUAACGAUAACGAUGGUCUGGAAGGAGAGGAUGAAGAAGCAGCUGGCUAUGAUUUACAUGGCUCCGAUGACCCAAUGCCGGUGCAAGAAGGAGAGGGUGAAGAAGUAGACCGUGAGGACGGCUCCGGUGAUCACCAAACCGAGUCCGGCCAGGUAUAUAUAUUAGUUAAGCCUGUGCUGACUAGCUAAUUGAUGCAUUCAUUGUUUUGGUAUGUACACAUAUUAAUUAACUCUCGUCUUUGUUCUUUUUUCUAGCCCUCCGGAUCGAGCACAACUUCGGUAAAGAGACGAGGCCCAAAGAAAAAGUUGAGCUCGGAUAAAAAGUUUGAGAUCAUACAAAUCACGCGCGACGGCCAACCGAUUGAACCCUACCGGACAAAGAAGGCAUUUGUUGCUCAGUGCGGGGUUCUGGUUAGGGACAAGAUCCCGAUCAGCAUCCACCAAUGGUAUAAGCCUAAGAACGAAGACCCUGAGGUGUCUUAUGUCAAUGAUAUGCAGAAAAAUGAUCUUUGGACUGAGCUGAAGUCAAAUUUCACCCUACCGCCGGAGGAUGAUCUGGAGAAGCCAGUUAUAGAGCCAUUAAUCAAGUCUUUUGCUCUGAAGAAGAUGGCAGACCUAUUCAGGAAUUGGAAGAAAGACCUCAAUAGGUAUGUCGAAAAAAAUGAGACACCAGAAUUCAAGGGCAAAUAUGAGAAGAUCAGAGAUGACUGGCCCGCAUUUGUGGCCCACAAGACAUCGGAAAAGAGUAAAAAGAUGUCGGCGACAAACAAGAGAAAUGCUGCGAAGAAGAAGCUUCACCAUCGCACGGGGUCAGGUGGCUACCUCGUAGCCCGGCCUAAGUGGGCCAAGGCUGAGAAUGAUCUGCUUGAUAAAGGGAUCAAACCAGAGACAAUGAACUUGCCAGACCGUUGCCGGACUUGGUUCUUUGGGGCCGGCGGAUCCUUGGACCCUAUAACAGGGAAGUGCAUUUGGACGGACAAACAAUUGGACAUACCAGUCAAGAGGCUUCAGCAAUAUAUCGAAGCAGCGCAGCAAGGGACGUUCGUUCCAGAUAGGGAGAAGGACGAGCUCACAAUGGCCCUCGGCAAUCCUGAGCACCCUGGACGGACACGAGGCACGCCAGGCUCCGUUUCGUGGAAGGCUGGAUUUCCGGACGCAGGGGGUUACAAAACCCAGGAGAGGAGGAAGAAACUGGAGCAGAGCCAACUGCAGGCGCUGCACGAAAGGGUAAUGGGGCUAGAGGAACGAGAAGCAGAUCGCAGCAAACGACCCACCGAAGCUUCCCCCGAAGCUACCCCGCCAUCUCAGCGGAGAAGCAGCGAGGCUUCCACCGAGCUGCUUCAGCCAGAGCAUGCCUUGACGGCUCCUGCUAGCUAUCCCGUGGAAGCUAUCACGGAUGCUGAAAAUUGCCACCUUAUGGCGCAAUGGAGCAAUUUGAAGGUCAAGGCGGCUGUUGGCUCUAUUUAUCCUACUAAACCCGACUCAACUUUUCACUGCCGGCCGAUUCCAGAAGGAUAUGCUAAGGUGAUGGUCGAUGAAAUAAUGGAGGGAUUUGAGGACCUCCGGCUUGACCACCCUACCGGUGAAGGGGAGUAUCGGCUGGAUUCUGCUCUGAAGACUCCAUGCCUAUGGCGGAAGGAUCUCAUCAACCUUACGAACUGGACGCCUCCGCCUCCUCCUCCUCCUCCGGCGAGUCAGGGCACUUCGCCUCCUCCUCCGGCGAGUCAGGGCACUCUGCCUCCUCCACCGCCUCCUCCUCCGGCGAGUGACGAUCAGGGCACUCGGCCAGCUCCUUCUCCGGCGCGUGGUGGCACUCCGCCUGCGCCGGCGCGCCCGAGCAGCCAGCCUCCUCCUUCUCCACCUCGUCAGCAAAGGCGGAAGAGACCCGCCGCCGCUCCGGCUGCUCCGGCGCGUCGUAGUCCUUCUCCUCCGCCUCGUAAGCAAGGAAAGAAGACAUCCGCUCCGUCUGCUCUGCCGGCGUCUAGCAGUACAGCCAAAGGCGGGAGGAGAUAUAGAUUCGGUCUUUCUCUGAAGACUCCAGAGAAGUUACUAUACGAGAGGAGCGAGGAGGAAAACGCGAAGAUCGCACAGACCGAAGUGGAUGACUGGUUUCAAGGGUUGAAAGCAAAGAGACAUCCACCUCCGGAGGAGAAGGUAGAUCCGGUGAAAGCGAAGCGCACUCUGGCUGCCCUGACAAAACCACCCAAGUCUCCGCCGAAAGGCAACUAUGAGCGCAUUAUUGGAAAGGCAUUUGCCGAAGCGGAGAGGUCGGGAAGUACUAAAAGUGAUCAAAGGAUGAAAGAACGACGAGCUGGGAAACAAAUUUCCCAGCUCGGCGAACAAGCGAAGCAAUCGUGCCCCCCGCUCAAGGUGCCUACUAGCGACAUCGUCGAUCCGAGGAUGGUGCCCGGUUAUGGCAAUCCUGCAGAUUACCUGCCCGACGAUGUACAUUAUGAUUUCUUGGAGGUGCAGAUACAAAGAUACGAGUACGGAAAGCCUCUCGUCAAAGAUGAAAGUUCUCUAUCAACGAUGAUGCGAAGAUUGCAUGAUUGGUACAUGAAAACCUGCAAAGAGUCUGAGGGGGGGAGUACUUUGUAUGUGAGAGUUAAAAAGGAGCAUGACCUCCUUGGAAUUGAACUGUUGCCUAUUUCAUUUGAGGAGUUCUAUUAGUUUUUCAAUCAAUUGGCCAUCGAUAAAUCAACGGUCACCUGCUACUGUCUGUAAGUAGUACUACUUCUGUCAUUAAGUCUCUCUAUAUAACUCGGCCCUUUCAUUGCAUGUAUUUAUAAUUAUCCUCACUAUAUUAUGCAGAUUGAAGAUCGCCGAAUUGAAGAAAAGACAAGUGGGAGAUAUCGGGUUCAUUAACAUGUAUCUCAUAGAUGCAACUGAGGUUCAAUAUCGUGCCCAAGAAACCGAGGCCAACUUGCUACGAUCGUUGGAAAUAAAUGAACACAAAGAUAAAUACACUUUCCUUACAACUUCAAGUGAGUGUUACUGUCUUGUGGCAUAUUCGGUUUCCUUAUUAGUCCAGGUUAUAGUAAUGUAAUAUUGAUGAGUUAUGCAUGUGUGCGCAGCUACCACUAUAUUCUCCUAGAGAUUAAGCUUGAGAAGGGAGUAGUAACUGUCUUAGACUCCAAGCGAAAAGAUCCCAAGGAGUAUGCGGACAUGACUGAAAUGCUCGAGAAGUAAGUUAAAUCGAUCAUUAUCCACCAUAUCAGCAACUUUGUUCAUUUCUAAUAUCAAGUAAUUGUUUUCUUUGUAUGGCAGGGCUUGGAGAAAAUUCACCAAAAAAGUUUCGGGACUACCGAAGAAGCUGCAAUUUAGGCAUCCGAAAGUAAGUACUAUAUAGUAGCACAUCCCACGCAUCUCCUAGUGAUUCAAGCGCUAGUUUCAUCAAUACCAUUUAGCAUGCUUGCUAAUUAUCAGUGUGAUUGACCUCUAUUUCUUGUAAAGUGGUUGUGGCAGGAACAAGGGAAUGAUUUCUGUAGAUACUACAUUUGCGAGUCCAUCCGCCACACGACCUGUGAGCGGGGCUACUCCGACAAACAAUAUGAAGUGCGUAAAUAACAAUAUUCACAAUUUUAUAUUAUUACCAUCAUUUGUGUUGAGUUUCAUUCAUUCAUAUAUAUAUAUAUAUAUGUAUUGACCCCCUUCUUAAAAUUAGAUGUUUCGGAUGCGGGAUGAACUCCUAGCACCAGAUCGCAUGCGAGCAAUUCAAGAGGAAUUGGCGGCAUUCUUUCUUGACCACGUGAUCGCUGAAGACGGAGAAUACUAUGUGGACCACGCGUCUGUAUGUUAGGAGAUUAUAUAUUUGUAAAAGAUAAUUAUUGUAUAUAUGUAGCCGGUAGUGUCGGAUAGAUAUACGAGAACUUGUUUUUCGACCAAUCUCUCGGAGAAGGAGAGGUGGUCGAUAUCACUUCUCUCUGUAUGCAUAUAUGUUCAUGACGAUCUUCUGUUUGCUUACAAGCUAGCUAGCGUGUCUAGCUAGUCCUCUCUAUACGUAUGUAUGGUACGUAGCGUCGACCAAGCACGGACAAAAGAGAGGACACUUCUCUCUAUUAAUUAGCUAGCUAUAGCACAAUAUAUGAAACACCUAAAUUAACCCCCCAAAACCCCCCAACCCCCCCCCCCCUUUUAAAAAAAACAAAAACCCCAACCACAGAAAUGCUGACGCGUGGAUGCCUAUUGGUCCCGGUCUGGGCUCAGCGGACAGGCCACGUGGAGGCCCAUCUGUCCCGGUUCUGGAUUGAACCGGGACUAAAGGGUCAGGGCAUUAGUACCGACCCUUUAGUCCCGGUUCAUGAACCGGGACUAAAGGCCCUCACCAACCGAGACUAUAGGCCCUUUUUCUACUAGUGUACAUGGUCCCUAUCUUAACCCAUAUUUAUGACAGAAAUUCUAGAGCAAAGUAGUGCUCAAAAACAAAAAUAAGAAAAGGUUAACAAAAUUGCCGUCAAUCUACCGAGAGACGCGGCUACGCCAGCCAAAUCGCUCAAUGGAGCGGAUGCCCCAAGGGUUAGGAUCCUCUGCAGUGUGGACCCGACCCAGCUGUCAUCUGCCUUACAGCAAGGUGCAUUACUAUAGAGGAUCUUAACCCAAGCCCAAGGCACCGCCUUGGGUUUACAUGCUUCUUGUUGUCGGUGAUGUGACGCCCUUGAUGAUCGGGUGCUCCACCACUGACUCCAGGUCGACGGCCAUGUCCAGUGAAGCGCGCAACAGAUUGCUGCUGGCCAGCCACGCCACCAAGGCAUGCAGGUGAAAUCACUCUUCGAUCGGUCGAACGACUCACUGUGCAUCAUGUACCCAUUCAGAAUUACAUGUGUUGUGUUCAUGUAAAUCAAAUUUAGCGAAAAGGAAAACUCUAAAAUAACCAUAAAUAGGAGCCCAUCCAGGUAUAAGGAAUUUUGAACGACGAAAAAAGAAACAAACUCCAAUUAUUUAUACGCGCACUAUAUUUGUUGGUCGAGAAAGAGCGAAUUAUAUGACAACGAAAGCACCAUGAUCUAUAUCGUAUCAAGAACAACCGUCCCUUCCCUAAGAAAAAAAAAGGAACAACCGUCCUCUGUCCUCACCCAUGCAUGCGCGGUGGAUGGAUAAAAUCAUGACCACUUGACAAACAUAAGAUCAGCUGCACAAAACAGGAAACGUUACACAGCCAUAUCCCAGUAGUAAUUACACAUGCCAUCACCUUGUAAGGUAGCCUGGGAGCCGAAGACUUCAGGUGUAAAGUGAAAUUGGACUUUCUUUCACACACAAGAAAGACUCAAUUUCAUCAAGAAAGUGGCAAACAUCUUCACACCAGGAGACCAUGGCGAUCAAUAACGGAAGGGAAAAAAUAGUACCAGUUCAAACAAAACACACUUGCAGGCUGUGGACUCGCACUUCUAAACCCAUGCAUCCACAAAAUAAGAAAAGAAUAUACGCCCAUCAACGCGUUCUCAGUUCCAAGCUCUCACUCGUCGCCGACCGGCUCUGCUUGUAGCCGCUGCUGCCGUCGUAUGCUUCUCGCCGGACUGGUUACGCUGGUAGUUGCUGUUGCUGCCGUCGCUCGCGUCGGUGUACUGGCCGCGCUGGUAGUUGUUGUUGUUGCUACUGCGGUCGCACGGCUCGCCGGACCGCGGCUGCUACUGGUUCUGCGCUGCGUCGGACGUCGGCGGGCGCUGCAGGUUCUUGACCUACACCCAGGCCUCCCGCUGCAAGACCUUGUUUCACCAGAGCACGAACACGUUCACCACCAAUCCCGUUGUCGUUGCCGGCCGUAGCCUCCGCGAGGAGGCCGCGAAUGAACCAGCCUCAGUCAUCUGCCAUGUCAUGAACCCCGCACACUUGCAUGCUGUUGAGGAGCCGGCAGCUGAGCUUGAUGAUGUACGCAGCCACACGGAAGUAGUCCAGCUAACGCGUGCGCGGUGCGCUUGGACCUCGGAGGCGAUAGUCAUAGCGAAGCAAAUCCGGAGCUCCUCCACCACGCAGGCCACGCCGAAAGUACCUGUCCAACCUCCCUCCCUAAAAUGGUUGCUGUCGCGCGCUAGCGCGCAUCUCCCACCCGGCGUCGUCGGCUUCGUCCCACAAACCACCGCCGUCCUGCGAGGCCGGCGCGUCGUCCAUUAUCGCUGGAUGCAGGCCAGCAGAGUAUUUUUUUUCUUAAAACUUCUUUCAUUUUAGUAUUCAAACGUCGUUGAGGAUCACAAAUUGGUUUGGCAUCAGCUUCCAAAUUUAUUUUAUGUUGACAUAGAGUAGGACUAAUACCUUUAAGAUCAUCCAGAGUAUAUCCAAUAGCAGCACGGUGCUUCUUCAAAGUUUUCAAUAAUCUUUCCUCUUCAUGCUCUAAAAGGUUAGCGCUAAUAAUGACAGGAUAUAUUUUCUUUUCAUCAAGAUAAGCAUAUUUAAGAUUAUCAGGCAACGGUUUAAGCUCAAAUACGGGAUCACCCUUGGGUGGAGGGGGAUCCCCUAGGAUUUCAACAGGCAAAUUGUGUUGCAGAAUAGGUUCCUGUUUAAAGAAUACUUCAUCUAUUUCCCUUCUUUCAUUCAUGAACAUAUCAUUUACAUGGUCUAGCAAGUAGUGUUCUAAAGGAUCACUAGGAGGUACAGCAAUAGAAGCAAGACCAAUAAUUUCAUCCUUACUAGGCAAUUCUUCCUCACGAUGUUGUUUACUAAAUUUAGAGAAAUUAAACUCAUGAACCAUAUCAUCCAAGCCAACAGUAACAACAUUUUUUUGCAAUCUAUCGUAGCAUUAACAGUACGCAAGAAGGGUCUAUCAAAUAUAAUGGGACAAAAGCUAUCUUGUGGAGAACCAAGAAGAAGAAAAUCAGCAGGAUAUUUGGUUUUCCCACACAAGACUUUAACAUCUCUAACAAUUCCCAUUGAAGAUAUAGUAUCUCUAUUUGCAAGUUUAAUUGUAACAUUAAUUUCUUCUAACUCAGCAGGUGCAAUCUCAUGCAUAAUUUCUUUGUAUAAGUCAAUGGGUAUAACACUAGCACUAGCACCCAUAUCACACAAGCCAUGAUAACAAUGAUCUCCUAUUUUAACAGAAAUAACAGGCACGCCUACCACAGGUCUAUGUUUAUCUUUAACACAAGGUUUAGCAAUUCUAGCAGUUUCACCCUGGAAUUGAAUAACAUGCCCAUCGAUAUUAUCAGACAAGAGAUCUUUAACAAUGGCAAUAUUAGGUUCUACUUUGACUUGUUCAGGAGGUGUAUAAGUCCUAAUAUUGCUUUUACGAACAACAGUUGAAGCUUUAGCAUGAUCCUUCAUUCUAACAGGGAAAGGGGGUUUCUCAACAUAAGAAGUAGGAACAAUAGGAUCAUUAUAAGUGACAAUCUUUUCUUCAACUUUGAUAGGUGCAGCUACUUUUACUUCUAUCGGAGGAUGAUAUUUAAACCACUUCUCCUUGGGGAGAUCAACAUAAGUAGCAAAAGAUUCACAGAAAGAAGCUACUAUAUCAGAGUCAAGUCCAUAUUUAGUGCUAAACUUACGGAAAAUAUCGGUAUCCAUAAAAGAUCUAACACAAUCAAACUUAGGUGUCAUACCUGACUCCUUACCUUCGUCGAGGUCCCAAUCUUCAGAGUUGCUUUUAAUUCUAUCCAAUAAAUUACAUCCAAAUUCAAUAGACUUCAUCAUAAAAGAGCCAGCACAAGAAGUAUCGAGCAUGGUGCGAUUGUUAUCAGAAAGCCGAGCAUAAAAAUUCUAGAGAAUUGUCAAUUUUGAGAGCUCAUGAUUGGGGCAUGAAUAUAACAUUGAUUUAAGCCUCCCCCAAGCUUGAGCGAUACUUUCUCCUUCGCGAGGCCAAAAAUUAUAUAUAUAAUUGCGAUCACGAUGAACAAGAUGCAUAGGGUAAUACUUUUGAUGAAAUUCCAAUUUCACUCUUUUAUAGUUCCAUGAUCUCGUAUCAUCACAUAGCCUAUACCAUGUCAAUGCGUCUCCCUCCAAAGAUAAAGGGAAAGCCUUCUUCUUAACAGCAUCAUCGGGUAUACCUGCAAGCUUAAAUAGUCCACAAAUAUCAUCCACAAAGCGUAGAUGUUCAUCAGGAUGAUUUGUUCCAUCUCCUGCGAAAGUGUUAGCUAGCAGUUUUUCCAUCAUACCCGAAGGAAAUCCAAAAGGAGUUUCAUUUUCAAUAGGUUCAGUAGGUUCAGUAGGUUGAGGAGCAACCCUUGGCUCAACCGGACGGUGUGAAGAUACCCCGAACAAGCCUCUCAAACAAUUACUUUCCAUAGUAACAAUUAACAGAAAAUUUCAGCACACUAAAUAAAUUUUUCCUUACCAAAUUCCACCUACCAAAGGCGCUUCACUCCCCGGCAAGGGCGCCAGAAAAGAGUCUUGAUGACCCACAAGAAUAGGGGAUCUAUCGUAGUCCUUUCGAUAAGUAAGAGUGUCGAACCCAACGAGGAGCAGAAGGAAAUGAUAAGUGGUUUUCAGCAAGGUAUUCUCUGCAAGUACUGAAACAAGUGGUAACAGAUAGUUUUGUGAUAGGAUAAAUUGUAAAGAGCAGCAAGUAACAAAAGUAAAUAAAGUGCAGCAAGGUGGCCCAAUCCUUUUUGUAGCAAAGGACAAGCCUGGACAAACUCUUAUAAUAGGAAAAGCGCUCCCGAGGACACAUGGUAAUAUCGUCAAGCUAGUUUUCAUCACGCUCAUAUGAUUCGCGUUCGGUACUUUGAUAAUUUGAUAUGUGGGUGGAUCGGUGCUUGGGUACUGCCCUUACUUGGACAAGCAUCCCAUUUAUGAUUAACCUAUAUUGCAAGCAUCCGCAACUACAAUAAAAGUAUUAAGAUAAAUCUAACCAUAGCAUGAAACAGGUGGAUCCAAAUCAGCCCCUUACGAAGCAACGCAUAAACUAGGGUUUAAGCUUCUGUCACUCUAGCAACCCAUCAUCUACUUAUUACUUCCCAAUGCCUUCCUCUAGGCCCAAAUAAUGGUGAAGUGUUAUGUAGUCGACAUUCACAUAACACCACUAGAGGUUAGACAACAUACAUCUUAUCAAAAUAUCGAACGAAUACCAAAUUCACAUGACUACUAAUAGCAAGACUUCUCCCUUGUCCUCGGGAACAAACGUAACUACUCACAAAGCAUAUUCAUGUUCAUAAUCAGAGGGGUAAUAAUGUGCAUAUAGGAUCUGAACAUAUGAUCUUCCACCAAAUAAACCAACUAGCAUCAACUACAAGGAGUAAUCAACACUACUAGCAACCUACUAGUACCAAUCCCGGACUUGGAGACAAGAAUUGGACACAAGAGAUGAACUAGGGUUUCGAGAGGAGAUGGUGCUGGUGAAGAUGUUGAUGGAGAUUGCCCUCUCCCAAUGAGAGGAGCAUCGGUCAUGACGAUGGUGAUGAUUUCCCCCUCCCGAAGGGAAGUGUCCCCGGCAGAAAAGCUCUGCCGGAGCCCUAGAUUGGUUCCGCCAAGGUUCCGCCUCGUGGCGGCGGAUUCUCGUCCCGAAAGGUUCUCUUCUAUUUUUUUCUCAUCGAAAGACUUCAUAUGGGAGAAGAUGGAUGUUGGAGAGCCACCAGGGGGCCCACGAGGUAGGGGGGAGCGCCCGGGUGGGGGGGUGCGCCCCCCACCCUCGUGAGCAGGGUGUGGGCCCCCUGGCCUUCAUCUUUGGCGACGAUUUUUCUUUAUUUAUUCUAAGGUAUUCCGUGGAGUUUCAGGACUUUAGGAGUUGCGCAGAAUAGUCCUUCAAUAUUUGCUCCUUUUCCAGCCCAGAAUUCCAGCUGCCGGCAUUCUCCCUCUUCAUGUAAACCUUGUAAAAUAAGAGAGAAUAGCCAUAAGUAUUGUGACAUAACGUGAAAUAACAGCCCAUAAUGCAAUAAAUAUUGACAUAAAAGGAUGAUGCAAAAUGGACGUAUCAGCGGACGACGCAAACCGAUCAAGCAUAGAUCGGAAAGGCAAAAAGAAAACGCCGAUCAAGACGACCGGCGAGAGAGCGAAAAAAUCCGGAGCAAGGCUUGGGAAAAAAGACUCUCUAGGGCAGCCGGUCAACAUGACCGGCGGACGAACCCUAGGUACGGGCGCCGCGGCCCCCGACGGCGGUCAUGGAGGCCGACCGCCCCGGGGUGGCGCGCGGGUGCGGAAGCGUUGGCCGGCUAGGGUUGGAUAGAUUAGGCUGGUACCAUGUUAGAAGGGAUAGAGGAAUUGGUGGAAUAGUUCAUUGUAUUGCUUGAGCUUCGUGGGCAUAUAUAUAGGAAUACAAUGAUCAAUUUGGAGUACAAGACAAGUCAGAACGAAUCCUAAUCUAUCUCGUCUUUCCUAAUAAUCAAUAUACUCAAUAGUCCCAAAUCAUGUGCUACCGUGUGUUUCUGGUACCAGAUACGGCUUUGUCUUGGCACGGAUGUUGGGCCUCCUCCCCGAGGUACAUUCGGCAGAAGAUGGAACACUUCGAGCGAAAACUUUGAGUCAACAAGUGUCGAGGCCAAGAUUGAAGGUGCUUGUGGGCGUCUUCUCCUUGAAAGCAUCCUCAAAAUAGUUUGUUUCUCCCCUGUUGGAUAAUGAUCAUCUGUAUUUGAGGGGACACGUCAGUGGUAAGAUAAGUCGGACGUUCCCCUGGGCUCAUUGAGGCGGUGAUGUGCAAUUUUCUAAGUGAAAUACUUGAGUGGAAGGUGUUGUUUCUGGUGAUGGUGGCACCCAGAGGUCUCAUUUUCCUUGGAGUAGUGACGAAAUAGCCCACACCCUACGCAUAUGGUCGACAGAUGUGCUUUAUGAUGGAGGCCAACUUCUUGGGUAAUUGUCUUUGCUUUGGGGAUGCGGGUCUUGGUAGAAGGUGGGCAACACUAGGAUACCAAGAUGGUUACUUUGUUUGCUCCUGCUUGAUCUCUAGUUUUGUUAGGUGGUUUCCCACUUUUAUGGUUUGAUGGUUGUCCUUAAUAACCUUGUUUUUCAUGUUCCUCGUUCUGGUUUACCCCAUAAGCCAUUUCAAUUCUACCCUCUCAAAUGGAUUGCAUGACCAUGCCACAUGGUGGAGUUUCCUAAAUAAAACUGAACAUAUGAAGUAUGCAGUGUGCAUAUUUAAACGGAUUGAUGUACAUAUAUGGCAUCAGUGUUGAGGAAAUCGUUAACUAGUAGCUCCUUGGUUGGCUAGCAACUAGGGGACCCAUAGGUUAAUCGGCAAGUUAGUCAAUUAAUCGAAUGAUUUAUCGGUUUUUUGGCUACUUGGUGUCCCUACAAGUAGCGAUUAAUCGGCAAGUUAACUGGUUAAUCAGACGAAUUCUUACACAGGGUACGGCAUCAUAUGUAUGUAAACGAAUUGAACGCAAGCACGCUUACAUACAAAGCUUAACCAUAUUACGCGCUCUCUGAUUUAUUGCAUUAUCCAUUAACAUACCAUACACCAACUUCUUAUUGUAUAUGAUCUAUAUAUCUCAAUCUUGCUAUAUCCAAGAAGAGAUGAUCAAGCUGCAGUACAUGUACGCGAGCAGCAGGCUAGCUCUCAAGCUUGCUAGCCGACCCUGGGGACCUGGGCAAUGGUGUUGAGUCUGUCGACAAAGAGGCGAACACGAUAGAUCCGAUAUUCCAUGGUUAUUGUCCCCAUUGGCAGAACUAUGAUCCACGCCUCUGGCUUGUCCUGCAAAAUCACCUUCUUGGCCUCCUCCACCGACUUCCCCACCAACUCUGGCCACUCCGUCUUCUGGUUGUGGUCACCAGUUCUAGUGUUCCCUCCCUCCUGCUUCUUUUCCACGUAACUCAUCCUUGUGAUGCUUGCUUCCUCUGAUCAAAACAAAUAACCGAAACUGUAACACAAAAUCACCUGCAGAAAACUAUUCUAAAAGAGAAGAUCAAUCAUGCCCAUCCUAACCUGUGGGACUGAUUAGAUCGCCUGUGUGACUGUGAGAUGUUGAAUUGUCAUGUCCUCAGCUUAAUGUGUAUUUAUAGGCAAUCAGGUUCGACUCCUUAUAAUGUGUGGUGUUAGGCCUAGCUAAUCUCAUGGCUGCCUUUUCUUUCUUUGUGUUUUCUGUUAGAAUAAGUGGCACAUGCGGUCUGAUGUGACCCAUGCAUGCACGUAGAGUAGGUGAAGUGCUCGUUGCACGUUCUCUCUUGGAUCCUCCUGGUUAGCAGCGGUUGUGGACGUGGCCGUGCGAUGGCGCGGCCGUCUCGGAUCACAUACCAGCUGACCAGGAGUUAGUUAGCUCUUUUAUCUUUGUACUUUGAUAAAGCAGAGGCAAUCAACAGAAAACGCUGCGCAGUUGGUGGCAGCACAAAACCGUCUCUCUCUCGUUCGUGUUCAUUGCUCUCUUUUUCGGAUCUUCCUCGCUCGAUCGCGUGUCUCGACAACAACAUGUAGUUGUGCACACAAAGUAAGCUAACGGUGUACUCCUUGCUAGCUUCACAUGGAUGGUGGUAGCUUGAACGAAGAUAGCCCAUUUGGCUUUAUUUAGAGUAUUACGUGCCUACACAUCAUCAGAUCAAGUGGUGCUUAUCUACCUCGAGCAGAAAAGGGUGAAUGAAAUCUUGCACGGAGCAUCAUGGAAGGUUGUCAUGUCUUGGUCCUGGAUUACACGUACACUGCAAACAAAACAAGAAUCAUCACAUGCCCGGCCUUUUUUGGUAGGAGAACACAACACUGCAUACAACUCAACCAAACGGAUAGAUAACUUUUCUUAGCAUAAGAAAUCAACUCUAUCCUUAUUAGCCUCUGCAUCAUAACAUUCAAGGCAAGCUAAGAAGUUUGUACUACACCAAAAAGUAAUAUGCACUCCACAAACAUUUUUUUUUAUUUCUUUCCCUUAAAGUUUGCACUACAACUUCCUUUCACAUCAGUGUGCACCAAGAAUAUGUUCUAUCUUCAUAUCUGAUAAUUUAUAUUUUUAUGUUUGAAACAUCAAGUGGAGGUACCUUGUGUACUAGCUUCCAAAAAUAUUUAUCUCGAAUACUUUUUUUUGCGUCACAUAUCUACAAUACUUCAAUUUGUUUCUACAUGGAACAUACUACAUUAUAAUGUUAAUAGCAUAGUAACGCAACUUUUUAAAAUCAUUUUCUAUAUUAUCUAGCUAUUAAAUUAAUAUCUAGCUAUAUUUGGGUAUAAUUAAAAUUUAAGCUACAUGUAUCUUCAUAAGGACUCUAGGUUCGAAAAAAUAGUAUUUAUGUAAAUUUGUAGCUUGUAUCAGAAAUUUAUGUAAAAAAUAUCAAUUUUUUAAUUCAAAAGUUUAUAUCGUACGGGCGGUUAAAUUACUGAAUCUACGACAUGCUCUAGCAAAUUUGAAUGUGUGCUCCCCGCAAAAAAAUUGAACUUGUGUUGUUCUUGUUUGGUUGUUUCAUUUAAAUAUGCACCUGGAAAUUCCAAAUAUAUUUUUUAGUGUUCUUAUGGAAUGCAUUUUCGAAUUAAUUUGUUAUUUCUUUGAAAACUUAGUUGCUUUCUGGAUUUCCUAAAAUAAAUCUUCCUUCCAUGGGCGAAAAUCGAAGAUGUUCUUGCUCUUUGUUGCCAAGCUGUGGUUCAGUUCUGCCCAUUACCAGACUGCACCUUUUCGCAUAAUGCGCCCUGGCCUUAGUUAAAUACCUUGCAACGUGUUUCUUCACGUGUUAGAAAGAUGAUAGUGAACUUUUAGAAAGUUCUUAUACAAUGUAGAAAAAUGUUCAUGUGAUUCAAGAAAAAUGUUUCAUGAACAUGCCGUGUCGAUCAUUCUUUGGACAUGGCUAAAUAAAGGAAACCAUGUGCAAUAGGUGGUAACAAUACAAACGAUUUGAGUGAAGGAUGUCUGUGUGAUAAGAAAACCACUUAGUUUGAUCCCUAGCUUUUCAUCACACCAGGGGAUGGCCGUUGAUAAAAGCUUGCUCGAGCGUCGGAUGCAUCCCUCCAUCAAUGUUCACUUUCCUUGACAACUUCCUGAAUACACACAGCUUCCAUACAUGAGGUCUCUAUAAUCACAUAUACUCCCUCCAUCUCAUAAUAUAAGUUGUUUUAGCCGAAUAUACAAUGAUCAAAGAGUAGCGUAAGUUACUAACCAUCAACCUUGUGAUUUGGGCACAUGUAGUAAUUCCAAAUUUUACACGCACAUUAUCUUAUACAUUUAAUUUAAUAUAUGCAUGAUUUUGGCCGAAUAUACCUUCAAAAUAAUAUAUUACCUUCGUCUCAAGUUACUUGUCUUAGAUUUUUCUUGAUACGGAUGUAUCUCACACUAAAACAUGUCUUGAUACAUUCAUAUCUAGAAAAAUCCAAGACAAGUAACUUGAGACGAAGGAAUUUGUAUUUUUUAUAAUUUUCAAUUUUCCCAAAUUUACAUGCGCAUUUCCCUCCCUCUUUUUUAUUUCCUUCAGUUUUACUUUUCUUUUCAUAGUUCCUACUACAUAACCCAUUCAUGUUAUUAAUCAAAAUGCUCAGAUUAUUCAGCUUGAACAUAUUUCAAAUAAAACUUUACGAUCUUGCAAAGUUGCAUGAACACACAAUUUCAGGUAGUCCAUGCAUGUAUGCGAGGGAAUGUAUGAUGGACAGUCGUAUGGACCAUUAAUUGUUCGGCACAAGCAAAGAAGCUAUUAACAUGGGCUACUCCUACUGCUUGGUAUGGAGCAUAAACAAGUAGAUGAGAGGCAAGAGCCGGGUGACAACAACUGACAAUCUCCGCUUAAACUUAACCUCCGCACCAGCGACAUGCAUGCAUGGAGCGAAUCUUGUGUCAACACACCGUGAGAGCACCGGAAAAGUCAACUGCUAGCUGGGUUUGGAUCGGACCUCGGGGCUUACUGACUGGUGACCUCGGGGCAUCCAACACGCAUCGUUUGAACAACGCAUUGUAUUGUCCUAAGAUGCACCACAUGCGGGCGCACCGGCCGUGCCAUGGAUGCACGUGAUCACCACCUCACCCAAUAAUCUACAGACUGCCCAUCUAAUACAACAAGCGUACACACCAAUUGACUAGCUUACGCUCCCCAUAGAUCUGAGCACUGCCCACAAGCAACCAACUCCACGCAUCGACCAAGCAAGCUAGCUGCUGAUGGCAAUGCAUGUGGUGACCGGUGCCAUGGGCAGCCUGCUCCCCAAGCUGGGCGAGUUGCUCAUGGAGGAGUACUACAAGCUGCACAAGCGCGUCAAGAAGGACUCCGCAUCAGCCCAAGGAACAGCGCACUCGCUGGAGAACUCAACAGUUUGGAUCUGACCUCGGGGCUUGGUGACCGGCGACGCGCAUACAAACGUAGAUUGUUUAGUUUAUGAUGCCUGAGGCCGCAUCCAACACGCAUCUUUUGAACAACGUACUGUACGUCCCAAGAUGCACCACAUGCGCCGGCCAUGCCAUGGAUGCAAAUUGAAAGUUUGCUAGAACUCAAAACCCAAUGAAUCAAAUGGGAAAAACCACAAUUAAUCCAACAAAAAGUUCAGUUCCCUGCCAACAAAGAGGCAAACAAGGCAUGCUGACAUGAUGAUGGGUGUGGGCAGGUGUGUAGUUAGAGGAGUGUUGACAUGGAUGAUGGGCGCAGCAAAAUUUAGGUUACUACAAAGAAAAUUUGGUCCCCAUGCAAUUUUAGGUUUGCUGUUCGAGCCGAUUUUUAGGUGAAAAAAAUUUAAAAUUUCAGUUUUUGGAUAUUGGACUCAUCUCUGGUCUGCUAUUUUUUGCUAUUGUUGAAGAUGCUCUUGGUGUAGCGGAAUAAAAGUUCAGUUCUCUAUGAAGUUAUGUCGGCAUUCAUGUGGAGAUAUAUUCGAGAAGAUGGACUAUUUAAGAGUAAUGCAAAACGCAGUCGGUAAGAGAAUAUUAGUGACGAAUGAAGAUUCACGAAAAAAGGUUGAUUGGUGAAGAGAUAGGACUAACGUGGGUUCAAUCACAUUUAUCAGUUAAUGGCACUAUAGUAGCCAUACUUAUUAGCAUUCCUCUUUGCAACUGGUAAUGAAUUGAGCCCCUCCGUCCAGUUUGAAGAUUUUAGUUUGGUAGAGAGUAUUCAUUGCCUUUGUACUACAUAGCUAAUUUACCAUCUGGCAAAUGUCCGCGUAGAUGCAAUAAGUCUGGCAGGUGACUGCCAACCAGCUAGCGGGGGAAAGGGCAUCUGAAACGGUUUAGUCACAUAUAUGCUCGCGCUGGCCAUACAACCCUAUCCCUUAAACAAAAUGGACACCGAGCAAUUUUACAACUCAAAAGAUUACUAAUAAAAAGAAAAACUAAAAUAUCAUACUCCUCCCUGUUGGAGGUGAGGUUGAUACCACCCCACCGAGCCGCAAUUGGUCCCCAGCGCAAACCCGCCGGAGCCACCGAAAUGUGCCACUUUUGAAUCAUCAUGGUGCUCCAACGCCUCCUCAACCUUCAGCACUGCCUGGUUGUCAUUGAUGAUCUCCGGGGCCAUGAGGAGCGUAACAACGACAGAGGUAUCUACCUGCUCGGACUCGAGUUGCGACAUGGUUGCAUGGUGCUCCUCUAAGAGCGAGAGACAGAGUUGCUUCUUUGUCUCUGCCAUGAACAAGAGGACGUUCGCCCCACCGGCUAGAUCCACGGCCUCAACGGUCACCUACACCUCCUCCUCGGGAACCUCCUCCUUCAUGAGCACCUUUUCCUCGUAGACCUCUACCAUCACCAUGGGGUCACCAUCCUCCUCCUCCUCCUCCUCUAAUCUCGGCUCUGGGGAGCUCGAAGGUUAGCCCGCCUCAAUGCAGGCAUGGCUCUGAUCAUAAGCAUCAUAGACCUCUGUUGCGAUUUUGGUGCGGCGCUCCAGCGUUAGCUGCUUGUACCAAGUGGUCUUGUAGCGACCUGGCGAUGACGGUUGGCACCCGAUGGGAAGGUGGGUGUGGAGGGCGGGGGGGCUCUACCAUGGGGGUCGGCAACGCUGAUGCGUGGAGAAAUGAGAGAUAAUAUUUUGGGGGCUCGCCGACCGACAUUUAAUAGCUGGAGCAGGCUCCUCGAGCGGCUCGCCGUCUGCCCAACCAUGAUGAAUGCGGCAAGAGGAGCAGUCGGGCUUCAAUUUUUUGUUUGAACAAUGAGAACAGCAGGAGAGGGCCGGGCUUCAAUAUGGGUAGGUGGAUAGCCAAUGUUAAUGCGGCGAGGGUUCAUGAGCGGUGUGACAUAGAAGACGUCUGGACCACUCCUCGCCCGCCCCCCUCAAUUUGGGGCCACCUAGGGAUUUUGGACGUCUGGACAUAUAUGGGCGAUUUGGUGAGCCGCAUUGGAGAAACCCUACUCUUUUUGUAUCGAGAGCAACCUCUCUGAUUUCUAUUAAAAGUAACCCCAAUGUCUGGUACAAACUUAAAAUACAAAACCAACAAAAGUAAAACGAUGCAUGAAACCCUAAAAAGGGGGAAGGGCUAGCCCGCCACCCCCUCUGAGCGAUCACGUGUGGGCCAAACAUCAGCAGUUAAGCAUGAGUUGUUCCCUACAUAGCCUUUUUGUUUCUAAACUUAUUUGUUUCACUGGUCUCUCCAAAAACUUAUUUUGGAAUCUGGCCUCUGGUAUAGAUGCUAAACCGUUUGAUGUUUGGUUUGGCAUCUUAGAAACGUCAAACGAAAAUUCAAAAAAAAAGGUCAAACGGUUUAGCAUGACCUUGCUCAAGGUGUCAAACGUGAGGAUACGUUUUUGGAGAAUUGUGCUUAAAUUUUGGAAGGGCCAUUUGGGGAUAAUGGUACGUGAAGCAUGGCUGGUGCUACUGCAUUAGUAGUAUUUAUCAUAAUUAUCAUACGGAAAUGUUAACGCCCACACGUGUGGGCGUUUGCACAUCGCCCACACGCCUCCAUCACCACUCAUUUUGCCACGUAUGAAUAGAUGACAUCAGCAGAAUUUUUUUUUGUUUUCGGCUUAAAAAUAUUGUAUCUCCUAAAUAAAAAAGCGAACUAAAAAUCCGUUUUCACCAUUAAAUCCGUCUCGACGAGAUCUUCAAAACUAGACCCCAUGUUGAUAUGUUUCGACGAAUUAUUAUUUUUUUGCCAGAAGUUGCCACGAUGUUUACACUGCAGUUGCCAUAGGGCUUAAACUAAAGUUGCCAUGUGGCAAUUUUAGUUUGUAGAUCAUGGCAAUUUUAGUAUUUUGAUGAUGGCAACUCCAGUACUUUGACCAUGAAAAUUAUUUUUUAUAUGAACCAUGGCAAUUUUACGUGCAUGUAUCAUGGCAAUUUUAGUUUAUGGUUCAUGGCAAGUCUAGUUUCUUAAUUCCCCGUUUUAUAAAUGUCAAAAUUUACUUUUAAAUGUAGAAGAAAAUAGCUGAAACAUAUCAUGGCAACUUCAGUGUAAACAUCAUGACAAUUCAUAUGCAAUAGACAUGGCAACUUUUAAUCCAAAUUUUUUUUUUCAUCAAAACAUAUCAACAUGGGAUCUAGUUUUGAAGAUCUCAUCGCGAGGGAUUUAAUGGUGAAAACGGAUUUUCAAUCGGAUUUUUCGUCUAAGAAAUAAAACAUUUUAAAAACUGAAAAUCCAAAAAGAUUCCUGCAUGCAUGCAUGCGAUGACGUGGCAAUCUGUUUAUAUUAGAGACGUGUGAUGCGUCUCCCUUUCUGCCACACGUGUGGCAGUUAGCGCGACCCUUAUCAUAAUGGUACGAGUAUUCAAAGAGGGUGCUAGAGUAGAGUAGUAAUUUGCUCUCUUCAUUGGCUGUCGUGUUGGUUUUCCUCUGGUCAUCGUCUCCACUGAGCACUCCCUUCCUCUCCUCUCAGUGCUCUCCUCCAUUGCGCUCCCUCGACUAAGAUCGAUUCACCCUUGUUGCUGAUCUCAUCCAGCCUCCUCUGUCCUCGCCCCUGCCAGCUGACUGCCACAGACCGUUGACAUUUUGGGUAUGUUUCCUGUUGAUUUCUUUCCUGCUAAAGUAGCAAUGCUUCGAUCUAAAAAGUGAUUAGUUCUCCUGCUUGCGGUUCUGACCGAUUUGUGUUGAUUGAAUCCAGAUUGGGAUAGUGGGGCUCUGUAUCUAUAUAGUACAGAGUACUACUGUAUUCCAAGCAAUUUCCUCUGCUCCUCGUCUCCGCUUCCUCUCAGUCUCCUCCAUUGCUUGGGGUAUUUUUCUUGUCGAUUUGUUUUCCGGUGAAAUAGCAAUGCUUGGAUCUAAAAAGUUAUUACUUUUCCUGCUUGAUGAGUCUCAUCGAUUUGCGUUGGUUGAAUCCAGGGUGGCAGUUUCCAGUCAUUAUUCAGAGCACCAUACAUCCAAGGCACUGACCCGGCUAGCGGCCUGGUAAAAUUUUCCCUCCCAUCUUUCUUGCUAUUCUGCUCUACUGAAAUUUUUUCACAUCCACGGGUUCUUAUUAUUAAUCUGCUGAUUAAAAGUUCUUAAUUAUUCUUCCAGAUCUAAUUUGACAGCUCAGUUCUCGAGCUCGUUAAAGGUUUCACACAAUUUCAUUCAAGGCUUCACACAAUUUGGAUUGCACUACAGCUCCCCUUAUUCAUCGAUUCAAAGGUUUCCAGCCGGUUGAUCCUGGUUGCUCGUCCUCCUGCUCUCAUGAAUAUUGUCACGGGGGCCAUGGGCAGCCUGAUCCCCAAGCUGGGCGAGCUGCUCGUGGAGGAGUACAAGCUGCACAAGCGCGUCAGGAAAGAUGUCGAGUUCCUCAUGAAGGAGCUUGAGAGCAUGCACGCUGCCCUCGUCAAGGUUGGCGAGGUGCCGCGGGACCAGCUCGACAGGCAAGUCAAGCUCUGGGCUGACGAGGUCAGAGAGCUCUCCUACAACAUGGAGGAUGUCGUGGACAAGUUCCUCGUACGAGUUGACGGCGACGGCAUUCAGCAGCCUCAUGACAACUCCGGCAGAUUCAAGGAGCUCAAGAACAAGAUGGUCGGCUUGUUCAAGAAAGGCAAGAAUCACCAUAGCAUAGCUGACGCGAUCAAGGAAAUCAAGGAGCAACUCCAGGAGGUGGCCGCUAGGCGUGAGAGGAACAAGGUAGUUGCUCCUAAUCCUACGGAAUCAAUUGCUAUCGAUCCUUGUCUUCGAGCUUUGUAUGCAGAAGCGACAGAGCUAGUUGGCAUAUAUGGGAAGAGGGAUCAGGAGCUCAUGAGGUUGCUCUCCAUGGAGGGAGAUGAUGCCUCUAACAAGAGACUGAAGAAGGUCUCCAUUGUUGGAUUUGGAGGGUUGGGCAAGACCACUCUUGCUAGAGCAGUAUACGAGAAGAUUAAAGGUGAUUUCGAAUGUCGGGCAUUUGUUCCUGUCGGAUAGAACCCUGACAUAAACAAGGUUUUAAGGGAUAUCCUCAUUGACCUCGGCAGCCCUCACUCAGAUUUUGCGAUACUGGAUGCCAAUCAGCUUAUUAAAAAGCUUCAUGAAUUCCUAGAGAACAAAAGGUAUGCAUCAGUUACAGCAAAAAUUUAGACUAAGGUGCUAAAUUUCAUGCAUGUAUAAGUAUAUAUAUGUUUGAUUCUUCCCUCCUUUAUCAAAAUAGUUCGCAAGUAAUUGUUGUCUCAUGUGUUACGGUGGCUGAACUUAUUGGCACCGCUCCAAGAAAUCCAUCUAAACAUUUUACAUUUCACCAAAGUGAGUGUAAUGACAACUGUAGCAAACAAUACACCAAAAGGAAAGGAAGGAAAGAGGAAGGCAAAUGUUACAAAAAUUCAAAUCAAACUUAUUUAUAUCUUUCUCCUUACCAACUCAGUUUUAAAACACAUAUUUUAAAGGUGACAAUGAGCGCUAAAGGCUACCCUCGAAAAUUCAUAAAAUAUUGUAAUAUUUGAUUGAUGACCAAAUUAGAAGUUAAAUUAUCUCUUCAUUAUCACAUUAUAUUCCCAUGCAUACCUUUGUAUGGAACUUACUGAGCAAAAUAUAGGCGAAAGGAUAAUACCACACAAUUUGACUCUCCAAGAGGUUCAUUAGCUGUCAUAUAUUAAAUUGGUGGGUCAAUCUGUACCUGGGUCUUUUUGAUAUAUCUACCUAACCAUUUGAACUUCUGUACUUAAUUGUAUUCUAUGUAUGGUCACUGAUCCAACAACUUGCUAUUUGUGUUUUACUCCCUUGAAUCUUAAAUAUUUAUUCAUUUUGUUCAUAUCAUCUGACCGGAGGCUCAUAAUACAUGCUUCGUGAGAAUCAGAUUAUCGAGUUUGAGACGCAUGCUUCCUACUAGUUUGUUUCUGAAUAUAUGCCCUUAUAGAUGUAUAGUUUCCACUACAAGAAAUAUGGUGAAUUGUGACCUUUCAUAACGACCCUGAGUCGAAUUGUCAUAAAUCCAUGACCAUUUCGAACCAAUUGGUCGUAAGCUGUGCGGGAGGGUCCAAACCUUAAAGCAUAACGACAAUUUUGAUUAAAAAGGUCAUAAUUUUCUUACACGAAAUGAUCAUGAGCAGACAACACUGAUUUACUUCUCUAUUUCUACUUGAUUACGACCAAUCUAGAUGGUCAUAUCUUCUAAUUUGUAAUGCUUGAAGUGAUUGGACGGCCACCUCAGCAAUUUCGCCUAUGUGUAAUGUCCAUGUGUCAGCCACCUCACUAGUUUCAUCUAUGUGUCAUGUCCAUGUGUCAAUUUCCGCUUACAUUUCUCUAUGACAGAUGGGACCCACCAGCAACUUGACAUGCAGAACCGACCACAUACAUGACACGUGGGCACCACCAAACCUUACAUGCAGGACCGACACGUGGGCCCCACCUAACUGCCAUGCGGGACCCACCAUCGACAUGAAACGUGGGCUCACCAAACGGCCAUGCAGGACCCACCGAUAAAUUGAAACGUAGGCCCAACAGAACAGACAAGUGGGACCCACUAGUGACAUGACGAGCGGGACCAGAAAACUGAAAAAGAAAUCUCUACUCCUAAUGGAGAAGUUGGUGAAUAGUCCGCCGGUUAUUUUUUGCUGGUUUUAUUUCGCCUCAUCAUUUUCGUUGGUUUUAUUUCGCUGGUUUUAUUUCGUCUCCCUCCCACUUGCCUUUUUGCUUCACCACUCACAUAAACCCAUCAGAUUAGUUACCAUAUAAAAAAUAAAUCGCAAUCAAUCAAGUAUUGAUGAUCAGAUUAGUUACCAUAUAAAAAAUAAAUCGCAAUCAAUCAAGUAUUGAUGGGAUAUUUCCUUAUAUUGAUGUGAUUUUCCAUUUUUUAUCAUCAAUCAUCUCUACUGUCUAAAAAAAUGCGUAGCUUUCCUUUUCCUGCCAACCGACCGCGUCCCGUCUCCCUACAUUUGCCCUCGUUGCUCUGCCUCCCGCACGAAAAAAACCCGCACGAUGGAAAACCCCAGCCGCCUGCUUCCCCUCCUCUCGACCGCUCCAUACGUCCAGAUCGCGGCCCCAUCCCCAUCCUCCUCUCACGUCACGCCUGCCGAUGGACUGCCGCCACCACCCUCCUACUCUCUCGCCGCCGCCGUCCUCCCGCUCGCAUAUAUUCAAAAAAAAGGUCAAUAAACGAAAGCAAUGAUGAAUUAACGACCAAAAUGGGGAGUCAUAAUUGACUAUAUUUCUUGUAGUGUUCACCCAUAUAUUAAUAUGACCCUCAGCUUUGAGAUGUGUAUACACCUUACACUGAUACACUGAACUAAUGUAGGUAUCUUGUCAUAAUUCAUGAUUUAUGGGAAGAAAAAUUAUGGGAAGGGAUCACCUUGCUUUCUCCAACAGGAAUAAUCUAGGCAGUCGGCUAAUCACCACAACCCGCGAUUUUGAUGUCUCCAAAUCAUGUUGCCCAUCCGCAGAUGAUUCAAUUUAUAAAAUGAGACCUCUUUCUAUUCAUGACUCCAGAAGGCUCUUCCAUAAAAGAAUAUUUCCUGAUGAUAGAGGAUGUCCAAGUGAAUUUGAACAAGUGUCUAAAGACAUAUUGAAGAAAUGUGGUGGAGUACCACUAGCCAUCAUUACUAUUGCUAGUGCUUUGGCUAGUGGCCAGCAGGUGAAAUCAAAGCAUGAGUGGGAUAUUCUGCUCCAGUCUCUUGGCUCCGGACUAACAGAAGAUAACAGUUUGGUUGAGAUGCGAAGAAUACUAUCUUUCAGCUAUUAUAAUCUACCAUCUCAUCUGAAAACUUGUCUAUUGUACCUAUGUAUAUAUCCAGAAGAUAGCAAGAUUGAUAGAGAUAGACUGAUAUGGAAGUGGGUGGCUGAAGGAUUUGUCCACUGUGGAAACCAAGGGACUAGCCUGUUUUUGGUCGGAUUAAACUACUUCAACCAGCUCAUUAAUAGAAGUAUGAUCCAGGCAAUAUAUGAUGGUCUAGGCCAGGUACAUGCUUGCCGUGUACAUGACAUGGUUCUUGAUCUUAUCUGCAACUUGUCAUGUGAAGCAAAGUUUGUUAAUUUAUUGGAUGGUACUGGGGAUAGCAUGUCUUUUCAAGGCAAUGUUCGUCGUUUGUCCCUUCAGAAUAAAAAUGAAGAUCAUCACGGCACACCUCUCAGAAAUUUCAUGGGUAUUUCACGAGUGAGGUCCAUUACUAUCUUUACAUCUGCUAUUAAUAUCAUGCCAGCCCUGUCAAGGUUUGAAGUUCUGCGUGUACUUGAUUUGUCUGACUGUAAUCUGGGAAAAAGUAGCAGCCUGCAACAUAACCUCAAGGGUGUUGGACACCUAAUUCACCUGAGGUACCUUGGUCUAGCAGAUACUGGAAUCAGGAAACUCUCGGCUGAGAUAGGAAACCUGCAGUUUUUGGAGGUAUUGGAUCUUGGAAGCAAUUAUGAGCUAGAUGAAUUGCCUUCCACUGUUUUUAAAUUGAGAAGAUUAUAAUCUACCUACAUGUUAAUCACCAUAAGUUGGUUCCAACUCCUGAUGUGUUGCAGAAUCUGACAUCCAUUGAAGUGUUGAGGGGGGUCUUGGUCUCUCUGAACAUUAUUGCACAGGAGCUUGGCAACCUGGCAAGGCUAAGGAAGCUUUGGAUUCGCUUCAAGGAUGGUAGUUUGGAUUUGUAUGAAGGUUUCGUGAAGUCUCUGUGCAACCUACAUCAUAUCGAAAGCCUAAGUAUUAGUUGCAAUUACAAAGAAACAUCCUUUGAACUGAUGGAUCUCUUGGGAGAAUGUUGGGUGCCUCCUGUACAUCUUCGUGAAUUGGUGUCGUGCAUGCCCACCCAACUCUCUGCACUGCGAGGGUGGAUAAAGAGAGACACCUCGUGUCUCUCGAACCUCUCCGAGUUAUUCCUCUGGCGAGUGAAGGAAGUGCAUCAGGAGGACAUGGAAAUCAUUGGGGGGUUGUUGUCCCUUCGCCGUCUCUGGAUAAGGAGCACCCACCAAACACAGCGGCUGCUAGUCAUCCGUGCUGAUGGGUUCCACUGUAUGGUAGACUUUGAGUUGAAUUGUGGAUCAGCAGCGCAAAUCAUGUUUGAACCAGGGGCUUUGCCGAACGCAGAAGCAGUUGAGUUCAGCCUGGGCGUGCGGGUGGCGAAAGAGGAUGGUAACUGUGGUUUCGACCUGGGCCUGCAGGGGAACCUGCUCUCCCUUCGGAAGCAUGACAGGGUUAUUUUUUAUUGUGGUGGAGCGAGGGUUGGGGAGGCCAAGCAAGCAGAGGCUGCGGUGAGGCACGCACUCGAUGCCCAUCCCAACCAUCCGUGGAUUUCAAUUGGCAUGAACCUGGAUAUAGCAGAAGGUACUCAUGCUGCACCUAACUUAUUACUUGUACACGUAUGAGUGUGUUUUCUCAUGUCCGCCUGACCUUAUUGCUUUCUGUGUCCAUGGAUUUGAUCUGUAAAUCUCCCCAAAUGCCCAUGAUGACGAUUUGUUGUCUGAUAGUGAUGAGGACAACUCUCUUUCUUUUCCUAUCUCUAGAGUUCCGCUUGUCGUUCCAUUGAUCAACUAUGCUUCACUUUGAGAUCUGCUACUUAAGAAAAUGUUUACUACUCCCUCCGUUCCUAAAUAUUUGUCUUUUUAAAGAUAAGAAUGGACUACCACAUACGGAUGUAUAUAGACAUAUUUUAGAGUGUAGAUUCACCCAUUUUCCUCCGUAUGUAGUCACUUAUUGAAAUCUCUAGAAAGACAAAUAUUUAGGAAUGGAGGGAGUAGUUCUAUCUUAUAUCUUUCAAUUACAUACAAAUCAAACGGGUGCUUCCAAGUUCCAACUAACAAAGUAUUUUUGGAAAGGGUUUUCGCAAACAGAUCGUUAAUGCCAAUAAGAAUAGGAACAUAAAUGUACCAGGACAGGAGACAGUAUGUAUGCUGAUACACCUAAUUAUCAAUUUUUUUCCCCACCAACUUAGUUUUUCCAUCUCUAGAGCUCAGCCUGUCGUUGCAUUGGCCACGCUUAACUAGUGGCUAUGGAAAUUAGAAACAGGUGAAGGUGUUUUACAGAAGUUCCUUAGACAUAAGUAUCUGAGAAAAGUGCACCUGCUCAGUCUCAUUUUUGACAUGGGCUGAUGAAAGAACUAGGUUUUUCAGAAGAUUUAUGGAUAGAGGAUGCUAUUUUAGGUGACAACUAGUACUCCAUGCUAUGCGAUUUAUCUUUGUGUAAGCUUAUCUCUGUAGCUAGAAUUCUAGGCCACUGCUUUAAAAUUUAGAAAGGAAUAUAUAUGCUGAAACUGCUGGGCUGUGGCAUCAAUUACUUGCUGAUUGUGAAGUUUUUUAUGUGAGAAAUAAGCAAGAUUCAUAGUAGAUGGAUUUUAGAGAAGAACGGGGUAUUUUCUGUGCAUUCUAUGUAUAUAGCUUUGAAAGUUCGGCAGAUGAAAUGACCUUGUAGAAAAUUUGUGUAUGUAAAAGUUCUACUGAAGAUCAAAGUAUUUCUGCGCUUAACAUUCAGAAAUACUAUCUUAAGUUCUUAACCAGAAAUAAUCUGAAUCUUCUAUACUGGUAGUGUGGUACGGGAAAAUUGACUUCUUUUUUUGCAGUAGAGAAGAAGAGUAAGGGGAUCAUAUCUUUUUUACGUGUUUCGUUGCUCGUUAUAUUUGGAACACUGCAUGGUGUGCUUUUUGUUUUCAUACAGUUCUUGCUAGCAUGGAGGGACACUUGUGAUCGGGUAAUGAGUUUCACGGGUAAAGAUAGGAAUCUGGUUUCAGCUGGGGUAGCGGCAGUUAUCUAUAGAGAUACUAAGCUCCCUCGAAUUGAAGCAUUGUGGUGCUUCAAGGGUUGUGGGGUCAGUAGGGCCCCACACGUAAGUGUGUAUUAUUUCGUUCUAUUUCUUCUUCUUUUUAUUUUAAUUUUUUCUUCAUGUUUUAAUUAAUAAGCACUUAAUAAAAUUUGUGUACUUUAAAAAACAUAGAAAUAUCUUAAAAUUAUUCAAAUUCGUUAAUAUUGAUUAAAUUUGUGGAUAUUUUUAAGUUCAUGGUUAGUUACAGUUUGUGAACAUUUUUAAAAAUUGAAAACAUUUUUAUGAACAUUUUUGAAAUCAUGAAUAUAUUUUAAAUUCAUGAAUUUUUCUAAAUGUUUUUUAAAAGUCAUAAUAUUUUUAAAGUUCUUAAACAUCAUUUAAUUUAACCAUCCUUUUCAAAUAAAGAAAGAUAGACGAUUUUUUCUGAGCUAGCAGUGAGGUGAGAAAAUAAACUAAACGAGAAAGAGGAGCACGGAGCCAAGCUGAGCUUCGUGUGCUGACAUAUGCAUGUGAGGGUCACAAUAACAAUUCCAUGGGUUUAACAUGAAAUAAGAACUCCCAAGAAGUUCAAACAAUCACCACCGGGCUGACACCACGCUUCACAACCACACAACAAAUAAUUCCUCUCUUCUCUUGAAAAAUUAAUACUCCAACAUCAACCCAACAUGAUAUACCAAAAAAACACCACCAAUAAAAAAUUAAAACACAAGGCCAACACAGAUAAAAUCAAAACAAAACAGCUGAUCACAAUAAUCUAUAGAUAUAAAAAAAGUUAUUUUCACAAGUGAAGAACGGCGCGGCGAAGCGCGCAUUAGCCUCUAGUUUGGUCUAUUUGGGAAAGAAACAAAGGGAUGAUGCAUGCUUCAGAAGUAUUUUGCCCAUGGAUCCCAGUGGUUUACUUGGUAAAGUUUUAUAGUUGAUGUUUUAUUGAUCUAGCUGAGAAGAAAGUGUUACUAUGGUUAACAUUCAGAAAUACUAGUAUCUUAAGCAGAGGCAAUCUGAAUCUUAUACGUAGUGCGGUACAGAGAAAAAAUUGUCUUUCUUGCUGUAGAAAAGAGUCAGUGCACAAUAUCUUCUUUUAAUUGUCCGGUUGCUCGUUAUAGUAUUUGGAAUAAUGUGCAGUGUGCCUUCUGUUUUGGUACAGUUCCUGUUAGUAUGGAGGGACUUUGUGAUUGAGUGAUGAAUUUCUGGUAGUGUAUCGACAGUUAUUUGGGUCUUUUUUUCAAAAGUGAGGAAUGAUUGCUUGCUUCGGAAAUAUUUUCACUAUAUAUGGAUCCCAGCUAUGUAGUUAGUAAAGUUGCAUACUUGAUGUUUUGUCUAGCUAACAGAGAAUCGACUUUCCCUUAAACAAAAAACAGAGAAUUGACUUGUGCAAUCUGCAGGUAGCAGUAGCAGGGACGCGCGCAGGUUACUGCUGGUGCCAUUGGAGAGAUGUUCCGCAAACGUCGGGUGGGCGCACGAUUUAUGCAAAGAAUUGAAGAUUGAAAAGUUCCAAGCUACGCUGGAAGUUAAUUGUGCGAUGAGCUUCUUUUAAACGACAGACACUUGCAGUAACACAGAUUGUUUGGUUUUUGUAACAGACUAAGUAAAGGUGUUGGAGUGAGUUGAUCUCUUACAAGGAUAGCUAGCUUUGUUUUGGCUGAAAGCCAUCGUUGUUGCUUUGUGUUUGCAUGCUGGUGUUCUAUUUAUUUAUUCAUUUAUUUUGUUGGACCGGACAAACCUGACGUUGUAUUAUCAUAUUUGUAAAGACUGAAAUUUGGCGCUCACCUGAACUUCCAGCUAACAAGUACAGUAUACUUUUGGAAAAGGCCAUUGCAAAACCAAAUGAAGCCUAAAUUCUACAAAAAUAUUUGUAUUAAUUACAAAUGAAAAAGGGUAUAUGUAUAUAUUCUGUCAAAAAAAAGGUGUAUUCAGGAAAUGCAAUAACACCAUGCUCCCAGACAAGGUUGCUUUGAAAAAAAAAAUGUUUAUGCUGAUUAGUAUCAAUAAGUUCUUUUGUUGCUUUGUCCUAAAUCAAACUUUAAUAAUAUGUGUUAAUAUUUACAACGUCAAGUAUAUUUAGUGUGUAAUGUAUUUGCAAUAAAUCUUGUGAAAGUAAUAUGAUGUUGUAAAUGUUGAUGCAUUCCUUUUUGUAUAGGCUUGAGCAUACCUGGCCAAACGGGCCGGCCCGGCACGGCACGGCCCGGCCCGUCAUAAUCGUGCCUGGCCCGGCACGGCCCGCCAGGGCAUGAUUACUAUACGGGCCGUGCCGUGCCGGCCCGCAUGCUGCGCCCCAGGCCUAGGCACGGCCCAGUUAGUAAACGGGCUGGCACGUUGACCCGUUUAGCAUGGUGGGCCGCAUAUUUUUAGCCUGUUAUUUGACGCACUGAGCGUUUUUAGCCUAUUUUUAAAUGUUGGGCCAUAUAUAGAUGUAUAAAAAAAUAAAAAAAACGUAAUCGGGCCGUGCCGUGCCGGCCCGCGUGCCCAGCCUCCAGGCCCAGGCACGGCCUAGGGCAUGCCGCGUGCCUGGCCCGGCCCGUUUAGCCCGUGUCGUGCCUGGCCCAAGGUGGGCCGUGCCGGCGUGCUCACGGGCCGGCCCGAAAAAACCGGCCCAUUUGGCCAGCUAUAGGCUUGAGGAUGGUCUUCUUCACCUCCACGAUGGGCAUCCCGACCAGCUCCGGCCAUGACGACUUCUUGCCCCCGGCAACGUCGAUGUCCGAGGAGCUCAUCACCGUCGCACUGGUGACUGGUCUAUUUUUGACGAUAUUAGAGCAUCUCCAACGGCCGCGCCAAAAGACGCGCGCGCGGUAAAAUGCCCAUUUAGCACACGGGGCAAGUUUUCGCGCGCUUCAGCGGCGGCGGGAAACAACCUCGCGCGCUAAACAUGGCGGUCGCACGGUAGAUUUGGCGGGCCGCUUCGCGCACCUAUAAAAUGCGGCGCUCGCCAAGCGCUCCACCACACUGCCACGCGCCCAUUUCCCCGCCUUCUCGCCGCUUCCACCGCUUUCUCGCCGCUUCAGCGCCCCGCCACCACCAUGUCGCCGUGCUGCCUGGGAUCAUCUGGCUACCGCGGCGUCCGCCUGCGCCCCUCUGGCGCCUACUACGCCGAGAUCCGGCCUGGCGACGUCCGCCUCAGCCUCGGCACAUUCGACACCGCGCACGAGGCCGCUCGCGCGUACGACGCGGCGGCGUGGCGCCUAGGAAGGCCUCGCGUGCAGUUAAACUACCACGACGUCUACACGCGCGAGCAGGCGCAGUGCGUCGCCCCUCCGCCUCGUCUGAUUACAGACCAGGACCGUGAGGACCACCGUCGGCGGCAGCGCCGCCUCCUCAUCACCGAGCGAGCCAUGGCGGAGUGGCGCCGGCGCCACCCAGAGGACGUCGCCGCCGAGAAUGCCUCCUGGGCAGAGAGGACGGCAAGCCGCCGCGCGGAGCGUGCUGACAGGCGUCGGCACAAGGCACUGGCCAUAUCGCAGUGCGAUAUCAUCGAGGCAGGCGGGACGUCGAUCUUCUCCCCCGACGAUGACCAUUGGGAUGACAUGUGGCUCGAUAGCUCGGACAACACCAUCGAGGAUGACGAUGAUGAUGAUGAGGAGGACGACUGGGAGUAGGUUCUAGUUGCACAGCACCGUAGUUUUUAUCUAGUUGCACCGUAGUUUUUUAUCUAUCUAUGCUAUGAACUAUGUAAAAUAUCUUUGUAUCAUUUUUACUAUGUUGUGAACUAUGUAUCGUCUUUUUAUCUAUGAACAAAAUAUGUAUGCACCGAAAAAAUGUUUGUGCGAGAGCGCGCGCUGCAUUUUAGCGCGCCUGCUGGAGCUACACGCGCGCGCUGCAAUUUAGCGCGGCUGCUAGAGCCAGCGCUGCGCGCCGCGCCAAACCAGACGAUGGGCGCGCCGCAAACCUGGUAAAUAACCGACUAACCUAUUAGAAGAUUUAUUCCCUCAUUGCAACGCAUCGGCAAUUAUCUAGUGUGACAAUAAAAAAAGAAUAUAAAGUCGCGAAAACCUAGUAAGAAAUACCACAGACAAGGGAGAGGAGAAGAUAAUUUAAGGAAAAACUACUAGUUGGCACUUUGUACACUAUAAAAUUAUCCAUUUAGUUGCACCUAAAGUAGAUAGUCUUGUACAAUCUAGAACAUUCGUCAAGGUAUAUCCUAGAUCCAUACACGAUUUUUUAUCAGUUUCCAUAUAUUGAUAAUGGUAAUAUAUUAAUAUCGAAAUGAUACACGGUACAUUCAUCAUGUGAAUGACACAUAUAAAGAGUUAGUCACAUCAAGGAUGCAUAUGCUAUAGAAACCCAAAAAAUCUAACAUGAGGAAAAAAAACUUUGAAACGAUAAUAUUGGAUAUGAAAAAAAAUCUAAUAAUCAUUGGCAUGUUCUAUCUUUUGUAUCAAAAUGAUUUAUCAAUAAAAAAAACUAAUUUAACCAUAAGAUAAGUUAUGACUUAAAUAAAAAAGUUUAAUAUAAAAUAAAGAUGUCACCAUGAGACGAAAUGAAUAAAAUGAAUAAAAAAUAAUGCUUGACAGAAUUUUAGGGAAAUAGAUUUGUGAAAAUACUCCGAUGACGGCGACUGAAGGCAGCGCGUCCCAGUUCCAGUCGGCGGGGAGGGCACUCUCCUCGCCUUGGUCGGCGAGGGUGGUGCAUGCCCGCUGCAGCUUGUCGACCAGGGAUACGAGGCCCUUCAUGUGUUGUGGCGCAAGUCUUGGCCGGAUCCGGUCGUCGUGGGGAGGAGGCACAGGCUCUGGCUGGAUGAGGUCAUCGUCUGGCGGGACGGACAUAGUCGUCGGCGCAGGAUCUGGCCAGAUGAGGUCAUCGUCAUCGUGGGAAGGGACUGGCAUGGUCGCCGGUCGGCGAGAUCGUGGGAGGGGGAGAGUUAGGAUUUAUGUCUCGAGCGAUAGAGCUGGCGGCGGGAUGGUGUGGGGAGAGACACGGGGGAUGGAGGGAGGCGGAUGCGAAUAUGAGAAGGUUAGGGCUAGGGCUAGUUUGUGCGUCGGUCUGUCUUCAGACUAUUGGGCCGAGGUUGUGCGUACGCCACCAUUGGGCCUGGCACAGCAAGGGGCCGGCCCAUCGGGGCAUGAAACGACACGGCCCACGGAGGAGGCCAUUUUGGCAUGUCGGGUCGUUCGGCCCGUUUUGGACUUUUAAAAUAAAAAAUUCAGGAAAAAUGCCAAAAAUAUAAAAAUUCAAGAAAUAGAGGUCAAGUGUCAUGUGCGGUAAAUAGUGAGCUUUAGUAGGGCACAUACAACGUUGGGCGUUUAACCAGGCGGUAGGGUAAUAUUCUCAGCCAUUAGCCUUUCGAGGCCCCGGGAACCACAAGACCGCACAUCGCUACAGUCAGCGCUAAUAGGCCAUGGAGCGUAAUAUUGGAAAUUGUAUUUGUUAUCCUUGCGAUUAAUAAAUUAUUGUCCACCUCACUUUUGUGUACUAUGAUACACUGGCACCCCACAUUAUUUUUUUCUUGCGCAUGAGAGAAAUCAAACUCCUUUUCUUCCCUUCUCACGGAGUGCAAUUUAGAAUUUUUCUCGUGUCAAACAAGAAGUAAAAUUGUUGUGUCCCACUUGUCCGCCUUUCAAACAAAUGGGGAACGUCGGGCAACAAAUGGGUCUUGGGGGUUGAUUUGGUGAAUGCCCUAAGCUCGUGGGGACAACAUUGCGCUUUACAUGUGUCCAUGAUCAAAAUAGCUUAUUAUGUUGGGGCUGUGUUUCUUGAACAGAUUUAUCAGAAAUUUAAAUUUAUGAAUGCAAGUUUUGGAUAUGAUCUCAAAAUGCUUAUUCCAUUGGCAAAAAGCAUGACCCUCUUAAUAUUUUUUUCAUUCCCAUGCUCAUGUGCAAAUUUGAAUCACACUAGACUGUUGAUGUGCAAAUUAGAAACACAAGGGUAUGGACAGUUCAUGGCCACAAUUUUAGCUCAGUUAAUUUCUUCGAGCCUACCAUCCUACUCUGCCCUAUAAUUACCACUGUGCAAAACCAAACAUAUUUAAUUCAUAAAUAAUUUUAAAAAUUGUUGAACAUUGUAUCUGACAUGGAUAGCCUACACAUACUAUUACCAUUUGAGCUACAUCCAAAUCUAUUUGCAUGGUUUUAAAAUCAAGCAAUAAAAAGUAACUUGUUGCCAUAAGAAUUAAUCAUACUUGAUGAUAAAACUAGCAUUACAGCACACCAGUGUUCUUCAGAUCCUACAAAUCUGAGCUACGCUUGGCAGUAAAUACCAAACACUAAGAAUCUGGGUGAAAGAAAAACUUGCAGGAACAUAAACUACUCAUGCAUUUCAUCAUCCUGGAUUAGAUUACAGACGGACACACUCCAUUAAUACACGAAACUGUUCAACAGUUCAGCAAAGCUGAUACUAAUAACUUCAGCUUAAACUGCAGAAAAGAGUUUUAUCUUACAACAACAGCAAGCCAUCAUCAUGGUUUGUUUGCUUCUAUCGACACGAGACACACAACAGGAUAACUAAAAAAGUAGUCGCAGCGGCUCUCAACUCGGACAUUUUUACGACAGCUAACAGCUUUCUCACUCUCUUCUCUUCUCUAGUGCUAAAUUUGUACAGUGAGCAGAGUAACAUGUUCAAACAUACUCCACCCUCUUCCUCCUCUUUACAGCUUAGUCUCUCAGAUUAGUCUUUGCCUCCUCAGCUACAGAAUGUACACUCUCUCCAGUGCAACCAAGAUUUGUAUCUUAUUCAUGCCGGUACCAUUACUAGUCGAUCUUAUAGGGUUUUCAGUUGUUGGGGGGAACACGCGAGCGCAAACCUAGCCACUGUUAGCUGUACAACUGCAUAGUUCCACCCUUCAGGCGGCGGUGCAUGCUGGUUGAAGCCCCUGGCGCUUCUCUGCAUCCACAAGAGCAAGACAGACAUAUGGUUAGCAUAUGUAAGAUCUUCAUGCUGAAUCUGUGAAUAUUGAUGACAAAACAUACCUCCAGCAGCAACUAGCUUCUCUACACGCGCGACUAUGUGCUUCCCAUAGGUGUACUUCUUCAGUGUGUUCAGGUGAGCUUUGAUCCUUGUAAGGAUCAUCUCUCUCUGCUGGUCAUCACAAGUCUCCAACACCUUCUGCACCACAUAGUUUGCAAACUGAUCUUUCAUCAUCACCUGCAAGGACAUAUGCAAUGUACAUCAGCAAGGUUAACAAAUAUUUGGCAUGUAGAUUCUCUUGGGAGCUUGGUAAAAAAUGCUGAAAAAACACAGACCUCAAGAGGUUCACUUUCAGUGGUAGACUCAAGCAUUUCACCAAUCAAGAUCUGCCGCUCCACAGGGUUACCAAAAGCUAAGCACUUCUCAAUGACAUUUGAAGCAAACUUUUGCUGGCUCAUUUGCACAAUCUGCCCAAUUAACUUGUCAAUGAUAGCAGUUCUCUCAUGUGGCUUGCCAUGUUCCAGAACAUGCUGCAAAAGUUCAGCAAGCAUUGUCAGAAACAAAGUAUUGUGAAAAUGGGAACAGAAGGUUAAAAAUCUCAGAGCUGAGAGUGCAAAGUCCAGAUCUCAGUAUUCAUCAAAGAACAGCAAACAGUAAGCAGUCCACAAAAAAAAUACAGAUCCACUUGUUAAACAGUAAACAGUAAACAGUAAGCAUUACGUAAGCAGAAAGAUCAGUGCAGCAGCCUGCAGAUGCUACUACACGAAACAGAAGGCAGACUAGUGCAGGUCACUGCAAGACACUUGAAGAAAAAAGAUGUGUGAAGUCCACAUCUUAGUAAUCAAUAAGAAUAUUAGGUUUGUCUUAAGUCAAAACAUUAAGAAGGGGAGCCUUGGCGCAGUGGUAAAGCUGCUGCCUUGUGACCAUGAGGUCAUGGGUUCAAGUCCUGGAAACAGCCUCUUACAGAAAUGUAGGGAAAGGCUGCGUACUAUAGACCCAAAGUGGUCGGACCCUUCCCAUUCUUACUGAUCGGAGGGCAGGCCUGGCGCAGUGGUGAAGUCCUCCCCACUUGUGCCAAGAGGUCCUGGGUUCGAACCAGCCUCUCUGCAUUGCACUUUGCAGGGGUAAGACUAGGUUCCUAUAAUCCCUUCCCAGACCCCACCUUGUGUGGGAGCUUCUAUGCACUGGGUCUGUCCCUUAAGUCAAAACAUUCUGAAGUUUGACCAAGUUUACAGAAAAAAUAUAUCAACAUUCACAAUGCCAAAUCAAUAACAUUAGAUCCAUCAUGGAGUAUAUUUUCAUAUUGGAUUUAUUUGGUAUUGCAGACUUUAAUAUUUUCUAAUAUAAAUUUGGUACCUAAUAUGCGGAAUAAAAAGAAACGGAGGGAGUACAAAAGGAAAACUACCAUGCAGUUACUAGUAAUUUUCAAGCAUUAAAACAACAUGAUAACCUUCAGAUGAUACUGCACCAAAUAGCCAACUACAUUACACCACGCAGUAGUGAAGCAGCAUAGAAGCUUGGACAAGUUCAAGGUAUGCAACAAUGUUCGAGAAUAUGUGCAUGGCACUGACCUGAACAACAUAGUUACCAUAUUGAUCCUGAGCCAGCAAACAAACAGAUUGAAGAAUCUCAUCCAUCAUUAUCUGCUGCGUUGUGGGGUCAUCACAGUGCUCCAGCACCCUCUGGUAAUUCACAUGAUAUGAUGAGCGAUGUAGACUGUGACAUAUUAAUUGUAUACUUCAAAAUGUAUCAAGGAGCAUGUUGUGCGGUAUUAGCAUACCUGUAUAACCCGACAACCAUAGGGAUGAGUGGAUAGCAGCACAACUUGACCAUAGAAUGUUGAGACAAUGAACUGGAUAACGUCCUGAGGGAUGCACUCUAUGCAUUUCUGGAUUACAUGGUUACCAUUUUGAUCACGUACACAGCGCAUGAUGUGUCCAUCCAGUUCAGCAACCAUUUUAGUCUGUUGAGCUAAAUCCACAACCUCUAUGGCCUGCACACAUAUAUCAUCACAUGACAUAAGAUGCCAUUACUCUUCCAGCAAUUUAUGUAUUUAGGUAUAUGUGCAAAAAGUUUUAAGUAAGUAUACAGGAGAGGUUAUAUGUUUGAGCGUUCCAGUAUAUAUAUAUUGUAUAACAGAGAAGGCAGAUGUGACUGUUAAUUUGUAUGCUAAUGCCUUGUAAAAUAUCAGUUAAGUUGCUUGCUCCAGAAAUCCUCAUAUAGUACAUGUUAGUGGAAAGGGGUGGUUUAGGUAUUAUACUAAGAACUAUUUCAAUGAUUGAUAAAAUUGUAUACCAAUCUCAACAAGACAUGAGCUAAUUCAAGCUACAGAAAAGUCAAAAAGGUAGUGAUUGUAAAUGCUACUUUGCCCAUGCAGAAGUCUAGAAAUCAUAAUUUCCUACUUGAUCAUAUAAAAAUGAAAUUCAAAAUGAAAGGAAUGUCCUUAUGUUUUCCUAGAUAACGUAUGAAUCAACUGAUAAGCAUAUAAAAAUGAACACCCAAUCUCAACACGCUAUAGGAAAAAAAAAUCACAGUACAGAAACAUAAAAAAAAUAUGAUUUUAAAUGCUACUUAGCCCAUGCAAAAAGUCCAUAAAUUGCAGCUUCCUACUUAUCAUAUAAAAAUUAACUUCAAAAUGCAAGGAUGUCCUAAUGCUUUCCUAGACAAAUAUGGAUCAACUAAUGAGCACCUUUUGUAUAACCCGGCAUCCAUACAUCUGAAGACUGAGAGCAAGGACACGCCCAAUAAGCUGAUCAGACAGUUCCUUUAUCUGAGUAGUGCUUCCAUGCUCAAAAAACUGGACAAAAGGCAAACAAAUGAUAAGUGCCACAUAACAAAGCCAGCACCUCAAACAAAACAAUUUUCCAUACCUUUUGAACAACAUAAUUUCCAAAUACAUCAGUCAUCAAUGUGAGAGCUUGAGGCAUGAUUUCUGAAAAAACCAUGUCUUUCUCUUCAGUGCUGGCUGUUUCGAGCUUUUGCUGUAUGAAUCGGCUCCCAUAUUGAUCCGCACUACAAAAUAUUCAAUAGUUGGUAACUAAAUAACCAUACAAGAAGAUAUAUCUUUUACAGUUCUGCAUACUUCCAGUCAUGAAUAAGAAAUCAGCAGUAAUUAAGGGGGUCAGUACCCUGUGCAAACUUGGCAAACUGCAGAAAAGACUAGUCCCCUUUGAAACGAGAUUAUAAGAUAGGGAUAUCAAUACAAAGCUGAACAUUGUUAAAUAGACACACUGGGGAUUUUGUUCAGUGUCAUAAUGCAUUAUGCCCAUGCGAGCUCCACACUACAAAGAUAUGUUCUAUAAUUUUUAUCGUCAUUGUGCAGUAUGUAUGUGCACCCACACAUGCACAUAGAAGCAUAUUGCUAUGUGUUUGCUAAGAUGGAAAGGCUAAAACACUUUUCAUUAUUGGGUGAUCAGAAUAAACAAAGGAGGAUUCGUGUGCUUUCUGUUGGGUAUUUGGCCCUAAGACUGUACGAUGCAUAUGCACACGAAGUAUGUUAUAAUGUUCAUAUACAUUAAAUGCAGAAGUGUACCUGAACUCAACAACAUGCCCAGCUAUUUCAGAGAGCUCAUAAGUUCUGCUUUUGUUGCUCUUGAAUUCCUCCAGAAGCGAGGGCAUCAGAUUGCCUUCCAUCUUCCCAACCAGGUCUGGAUUCCACGAACCAAAAGAACCACCAAAAUUUCUCAUGCCUGAUGCAAAGCGCAUGCUGCGUUCACCGUGCCUAAGUGGGCUACCAGAUGCAACAGGUGAGGAGGGCAGAACAGGACUUGUCAAAGGGCUACCGCCAUAACCAAGGCCGAAUCCAAGAUUUCCAUAGCAGCCAUAGUUCUUCUGUGACUGAAGCAGUGGGCUAAGGCAACCCUUCUGAGGACCAAGUAAAUCCAUGUAAGAAUUUCCUAGAUGUCCACCGGCCAUGAAAGGAUCAUCAUAACUUGCUGCAACUUGGGCAGCAAGGUACUGAACAUAUAAUGGAUCAAUAGGCAUCUGAAGAGAAGCUGCUCCAGUCGGACUUCCAACUCCAUUGUAGCCUAGGUAGUUGGAUGCACCACCUAAAUUUUGCCUAGAAGAUAAAGUGCCUCCUGGGGACCUUGCGCCAAUCCUUGGCGAAGCAUAGCCAGAUCCAACUGAGGAAUUGUCAGAUGAUGUGAAGUUACCAGCAUUAAUCUGAUUUCUCAUCAUAGAAGAAUUAGCCGAAUACCCCUCAGGUGCCCUAAAAUGCCCUUGAUCGGGACGUUUCAUGAAGGAGUGCUGCUGAUUGCCACUUGUUUGAUCAAAAAGGAACCUAUUGGCAUUAUCAACAUCCUGGUAGAGCUUAGACUGGUCCAUAGCUUGCCCAUUACCAGCUCUCGAUGAUGACAGGUUCAUUCCAGAUAGAGCAGCCACCAGAUCAUCAGGUUCACCAACGGCAGAUGAACUGCGGCGGAAAGAAGAGGAGCCACUCUUUUUAUCAUAAGCGCCGACUUUCACACCAAUUGGAGGCAGGCACGGACUCGGUACCCUCCUCACCAGCUCCGGAUCUGGGGAUGCACUUCUAGAGAGUGAGGGUCCCAAAAUAGAUGCAUAUGCAUGUGAUGACAACUCAUUGUUCCGAAUAUCAGCCAUGGUCUGUUCGUUGCUGUCACGCUGCAGGCCACUCAUAGCUCCAGUCUCGCGAUGCAGAGCAUACUGCAUUCCAGAAGAAUCCAGGAAGUCAUUGCGGUUGUGAUUGAGACUCUGUCUAUCCAUAUCACGUUGAGAGUCCUCCUGGAACAUUUACAGCAAAUUGUGCAAAUCUGAUAAGCCAUCUUGCAUAAUAUUAAACUGAAGAGAAAUAAAACUAGCCGAAAAGCCACAUUAAAUUGUUUGCAGUUGUAACAUGGAACCAGGAGACAUGGCCUACGAACAUGAUCAAAUAGCAAAAUGAAAUAAACAAGCUAAUUUCUACCUGCCUAACGCAGGUAUUGGUUCAUCCAACAUGAAUAGCAAAAUGAAACAAACAUGCUAGAACAAAGUUGCUGGUCCAAUGGAUACUACGCAACAGACGCAUAGAUGCAUAAACAGGCAUUAUACAAACAGAACAUUGUGAAGCAAUAGACAAUAUUUCUCAUGACUCUGUAAAUUCAGAGAGGUUAUUCAGGAACCUCGGUGCUUCUGAUGAUCCGGUAAAUAAGGAAAGAUUAUUCAGGAACUAUUAGUGAUAACAGUUACAAUGAUCCAUCUAAGCAAAUACUACAAAAGAAACACUGGCUCUGAGAAUUCAUAGAUCAGCCAAUACUAUCCAGCACUCAAACUGAAUAGUCGCCCUUCUGCGCCACCCCUGCAAGCUAUGGCUACAGAACAUUCCUAUAUAUGGCUAUAUGCUACUUCAAAUCACACAGAAAAGUAUGCCUCCGACGCAAUCAAUAAAUCAAACAGCUGCAAGAGCAAGACUAUGCUCAUGAUGUAUGAACUUUGCACUAUUCAGUUAACCAUAUGAAGAAGCCAGCAGCAACCUGCAAGGUGUGAACUGGUCGUUCAUACACACAUACUGUAUGAACUCCUAUGAACUUGGACUAUUCAGUUGACCGCCGCACACCCCAGUAUUUUCAGUCCACUUCACUCAUAGCAAGUCAUAACAGACAGCACUGCAGAACCAAUACUAAUAAUAGCAUGCUGAAAACGGAAGACGGAAAACGAGAUCUUUGCUUGCUGGGAGGAAGGAAGGAAGCCACCACCUGGAAGAUGCCGGGGAAGCCGCGCUGGCGGGGGUGGUCGAUCCCGGGGAGGCCGACGAGCCCGUCCCCGGGCGCCCUCCGGCCGUCGCCGAUCCCGCCGAGCCCGGCGGCGGCGGCGGAGGAGGAUGAGGAGGAGCGGAGGCGGUGCUGCGCGGACCGCCAGUCCUCCUUGGAGAGCAGCGGCGGCGGGAGGCGCGGGUUGAGGUGCGCAUUGGAGUAGUAGUAGCUCUGGUAGGCCGGGNNNNNNNNNNNNNNNNNNNNNNNNNNNNNNNNNNNNNNNNNNNNNNNNNNNNNNNNNNNNNNNNNNNNNNNNNNNNNNNNNNNNNNNNNNNNNNNNNNNNNNNNNNNNNNNNNNNNNNNNNNNNNNNNNNNNNNNNNNNNNNNNNNNNNNNNNNNNNNNNNNNNNNNNNNNNNNNNNNNNNNNNNNNNNNNNNNNNNNNNNNNNNNNNNNNNNNNNNNNNNNNNNNNNNNNNNNNNNNNNNNNNNNNNNNNNNNNNNNNNNNNNNNNNNNNNNNNNNNNNNNNNNNNNNNNNNNNNNNNNNNNNNNNNNNNNNNNNCCUCCCCUCCCCCCCGCGUCGCCAUCUCCGUCACCAUCGGAUCGAUCACCGCCGCCGCCGCCGCCGCCGCCAGCAAGAAACAGCCCCACCACAACACCAAACAAACAAACGACCCUAAACAAGAUCCCCGCAGCCUUAUCCCCCUAAAACCCCGCCGCCAUUACCGCGCCCGCCGCCGUCCUCAACCCCAACCCAAGAUUUCACCCCGGAAACAGCCGCCCCAAGAACCCGGCAAGCGCCAAGAACCGCCCUUUCCUUCCGAAUCAGGCGGAGCGAAACGUUCUACAGCGCGCAGACCGCCGGAAAUGGCCCGGAUUCGGGAGGGAUUCGAGCUCCGUUCCCCCCUUUCUCUCUCUCUCUCUCGCCCUCGCAGCUACCAAUGCGUGCGCGCGUGCGAGCUCUCGUGGGGGAAGAAGAGAAGGGAGCAAGGCGGCCGUGUUAAGUACAACGGGCCGGGCGAUCUGAGCCGUCGGAUCCGCGGGCGUGCGGCCGGGAUGCGGCGGAGGGGUUUGGGCCCUAGGGUUUUGAGGCCGCGGCGAGCCGCAAAGUUUUUCCUCCCUCCCUUGGCUGGAAAUGGAAACUCGUUGGGUCAAAUUCCUCUUCAAGCUUCUUUUCUCGGCUCUCGCCCGUGUGAGCCGUCCUGGCUAAUUUUGGCAAUGUGAUCUUUCCGUCAGAGUAUCUUCUUCUCUCUUUUUUUGAGAGGAGAUUGCCGGGAUAAUCUUUCAUUAUUUCUACAUUUAUUUUUUGGCUGCCAGAGAUUUUCUUCUCAUGCGUUGUUCAACUUGCAAUGCCGUGUACCUUACGGGGUUUUCUUUUGGGUCUUCGAAAUAGGCAAGUCGUGAAAUGGAGUGUAUUUGUCGAUUGGCUUCGAGAAAAUGGUUGUCAUGUCGAUAAAUGGGCGUAUGUGACGGGUCAAAAGCGAUCCUUCAUGAUAUACUUUUUUACGGAUAUUAAAAAGUCCACCCUGCUGAACCUCAGAUACACCGUGUGCUUUAUGUUCCUUGGGUAUGUAAAAUAGGGAAAUUGUGAAACAAAGAGUGCUAUUGUUUUCGUGUCGAUGAAUAGUCAUGCGUGUUAGAUCGACCCUUCAUGGUUGUCAUAUAGAUAAAAUCUUACAUGUAAUUUACUGUUGAUUUACUUUUUUAUAUAUCUCUCAGAGGUGGGGCGGAUGCUACUGUCACAGCGAUAAAGUAGCAAGCAUCCAAAGGUUUCCAUGUGACAGUGGCCACUAGAAAGACAUCUCACUUGCCUCGGUAUAUACAUAUCAAAACGAAAGGAAAAAAUCAAUGAACUAUGUCACUUGCCCAGCUAAUAGAUAUCAUUAUAAAAGUAUGUCCAGAUGAAAGGAAAAAAACUAACAGACUAUGUCGCUUGCCCGGCUAAUAUAUCUCAUUAUAAGCAUGUCCAAACGAAAGAAAAAAUAACCAACAAACUAUAUCGCUUGCCCAGCUAACAGAUCUCAUUAUAAACAUGUCCAAAGAAAAGAACAAGAAAACCAACAAACUAUGUCGCUUGCCAGGCUAACAGAUCUCGAUAUAACACAUGUAAAAAACCGAAUGAAGAGAAAGAACCAACGAACUAUGUUGCUUGCCUGGCUAAUACAUCUCACUAAACAUGUUCAAACGAAAGAGAAAAUAACCAACAAACUAUGUUGCUUGCCCAGCUACCAGAUCUCAUUAUAAAAGUAUCUUCGAUCGCCAAGGUCCAGCUCUUCUCCAUCAACUCGUCGCCUUGAUCUAUGAUCGACAAUUGCAUCCUUGAUCUCUCUAUGCCCUUGUCCCUGAAAACAUCUUCUUAGAUUCUUUAUGCUUCUUCCUGGACGUCAUCCCCACCUUGAUUGGUCAUAACUGAAGACCUGCCCACUAUCGUAGGGAGAAAACAAUUAACACAUGAGAUAGUUUAUCUCUGAUCUCCUGCUUAUAUAAAACAUAAGAUGUUGUUGUUUGCUUGUCCUUCGUCCAUCUUCUUUAUUGUGUUUCUACUCACUCUUUCCCUUUUGAUUUCCACCCUUCAAUCUCUUCCUUUUUCCUAUCAUUUUUCUUAACAAAAAACCUCAACGGUGCCACCUCUUAACAUGUCAAAAUGAAGGAGGAAAAAAACCAAUGAUAUCGCUUGUCCGGCUAACAGAUCUCAUUAUAAACAUGUCCAAAGAAAAGAACAAGAAAACCAACAAACUAUGUUGCUUGUCAGGCUAACAGAUUUCGAUAUAAACAUGUAAAAAAAUGAAUGAAGAAAAAGAACCAACGAACUAUGUUGCUUGCAUGGCUAAUAGAUCUCAUUAAACAUGUUGAAACGAAAGAACAAAUAGCCAACAAACUAUGUUUCUUGACCAGCUACCAGAUCUCAUUAUAAAAGUAUCUUCGAUCGCCAAGGUCCAGCUCUUCUCCAUCAACUCGUAGCCUUGGUCUAUGAUCGACAAUUGCAUCCUUGCUCCCUCUGUGCCCUUGUCCCUGAAAACAUCUUCUUGGAUUCUUUAAGCUUCUCCCUGUACGUCAUCCCCACCUUGAUUGGUCAUAACUGAAGACCUGCCCAAUAUCGUAGGGAGAAAACAAUUAACACAUGAGAUAGUUUCUCUCCGAUCUCCUGCUUAUAUAAAACAUAAGAUGUUGUUGUUUGCUUGUCCUUCAUCCAUCUUCUUUAUUGUGUUUCUGCUCACUCUUUCCCUUUUGAUUUCCACCCUUCAAUCUCUGCCUUUUUUCCAUCAUUUUUUCUUAAAAAACGCCUCAACGGUGCCACCUCUUAACAUGUCAAAAUGAAGGAGGAAAUAAACCAACGAACUAUAUCGCUUGCCCGGCUAACAGAUCUCAUUAUAAACAUGUCCAAAGAAAAGAACAAGAAAACCAACAAACUAUGUCGCUUGCCAGGCUAACAGAUUUCGAUAUAAACAUGUAAAAACCGAAUUAAUAAAAAGAACCAACGAACUAUGUUGCUUGCGUGGCUAAUAGAUCUCCUUAAACAUCUUCAAAUGAAAUAACAAAUAACCAACAAACUAUGUUGCUUGACCAGCUACCAUCUCAUUAUAAAAGUAUCUUUGAUCGCCAAGGUCCAGCUCUUCUCCAUCAACUCGCCGCCUUGGUCUAUGAUCGACAAUUGCAUCCUUGAUCUCUCCAUGCCCUUGUCCCUGAAAAUAACUUCUUGGAUUCUUUAAGCUUCUCCCUGGACGUCAUCCCCACCUUGAUUGGUCAUAACUGAAGACCUGCCCAAUAUCGUAGGGAGAAAACAAUUAACACAUGAGAUAGUUUCUCUCCGAUCUCCUGCUUAUAUAAAACAUAAGAUGUCGGUGUUUGCUUGUCCUUCGUCCAUCUUCUUUAUUGUGUUUCUGCUCACUCUUUCCCUUUUGAUUUCCACCCUUCAAUCUCUGCCUUUUUUCCAUCAUUUUUUCUUAAAAAACGCCUCAACGGUGCCACCUCUUGACAUGUCAAAAUGAAGGAGGAAAAAAACCAAUGAACUAGGUCACCUGGACGGCUAACAGAUCUAGGUACAAACAUGUAGAACUAUUGACAAGGAUAAAAAUAAUAAAAACUAGCAUGGGUCUAAAAUUGGAUCCAUUUAAAAGUGUAUUCGAUCGCUAAGGUUCGGUCCUCCUCCAUCAACUCACCACCUUGAUCUAUGAUCGACAAUUGGAUCCUUGAUGCAUAUUGCCUUCAUACCCCCCGCCCCUGAAAACAACUUGUUGGACUCUUUAAGCUUCUCUUGGGACGUCCACCCAUACUUGACUGGUCCUAACCGAGGACCUGCCCAAUGUUGUAGGGAAAAUGUGUAGCAUGUCAGCUAAUUCCUACUUAAAAAGCAUAAGGUUAUUUUGCCCGUUUAUUCUUCGUCCAACCUCCUAUAUGUAUGCUCCCGGUCACUCUUUUUUGUUUUGAAUUUUUCCAUCUUUGAUAUUUUGUAUCGAUUUCCCCUAAAAACUGCCUCAACUGCCUCACCUCUUAUUGGCCUACCAGAUAAAAUUAAGCUUUCUUUAGUAAACCAAUAAAUUUUUACCAAAUAAAACUUUGUUAGUCAAUCUCAUUACUGAUAAAAUCCCAUGUAAAUCAUGGGAGAACCUACAAGAAUGUUUAUGCCCAGUACAAUACAGGGACAAUUAUCUAGUCUAGUUUGAAAUAUGGUUUGUUUUCGGUUUUUCAGAUAACCUCAUCCAUGUACUUCAGUUCCUACAACAUGCAAGUUUCUCCUAACUGGAGUAAUCUCAUCUAUCCAUAAAAAAUGCUAACUAAAAACAAAAUACUAAAUACUAAAUGUACUAUGUAACUUGCUGCUAGACAUGGAAAAUAGAGGGGAUGAAUAUUCUCCUCUAAAGGCCAUAUAUAGUACCAUCUGUAUUUUUCUUCUUUUUUCGUAUCGUCUCUCAGGUGAUGGUAUUAUAGCAGAUGAGCCAAAUCCAAUUAGCCAAAUAUUGAUUUUAAGCGGCAUAUUCGCUUUCCAAACAUGAUCGAAGGGCAUGUCCGAACCGGCAUUCGGUGGGUGUUCAGACAUCAUCUUAAUUUUCAACAUCUCUGAGUAUUUCUUCAUUUCCUAUUUGGGAUGUGUGAGUCCCAGCUAAAAUAUAUCUCAACGAUCGCCUAUCAAUUAUAUUUGUGUUCAUCCAACCAUCUUUUGGGCGGCAACGACCAUUGCCUUGCAUCCGUAUCUUUGACCGAGCCGCAUUGAUAACACACGUAUCAAACAACUCGAAAAUCCAUUCUUGGCAGAUUGUUCAUCGCACCAUCAUGCCUUGUUCUUAUAUCCGAGGGAGGUAUAACAAGUAAUAUUGAAAUGCUUGGACCGAAGAAAAAAAACGACCUUCUAUGCAAAAUGACGAGAAACAUUUGUUCUUCUGUUUGUAUUAUUUGCGCAUGGCGAGGUUUAGUUCUCACAUAGAUACACUCUGAUUAGGCUGACUGUAACUUUUGUGUCUUCCCCGGUUUUCAGCUCAAGGUGAAAUUGAACAGAAAUAUCCUCGGUCCAACAGACCCGUAAUGGUCGUGUGCAUUGUUUGAUGCAAAGGCCGGGAUAAUCCUCAUUUUAAAAAAGUCCAACAGACCCAUGCGUGCAGGAAGAUCUUGUGUUCUAUAACUUCACUUAGCACAUGUUCAAAUCUUGAUGACCGCCUACGUUUGGGCACGGUCGAAUUGAAACACGUGGAUAUAUCAAUGAUUAGAUCAUGGGCGAAUCCGUGUGUGUGGAGGGGAGGGGGGGGGUUACUUCCAUGACACCCCCUCCAACACUGCAAAAAUAAAUUAACCUACUCCAAAACUGCAGAAAUAAAUUAAUCUAUUUGUAGUUAGUCUAACCCUAUGUGUAUUACAGAGGUUAAAAUUGUAUAGGCCGGGCUUCUUGGCAUCCACACUGGUGAAACCGUCAAAGUCUACAUCCACGCCUUUAGAUUCGUUCAUCCGAAAGUACAUGCACACAUCUGUGUGCCCACUCGUAGGUCGGUCCAAAGCAAGUUUUGAAUUAUGCAACACACUCAUACCACGCCAAAUUAAGUGAAACGAAGUUCCAUAGUCAUCUCUUAGUGUCCAGAAUUAUAGAAAAAUCGCAGUAGUUGCUCACUAACCGACAUGUGGGUCGGUUGUUACACGCAUGUGCAAGAAGGAUAAGAUUCCAAGCAACAACGGAAGAGGAAUGCACACGACGAUUAUUACGUGGCAGGCUCCUGCAGCUCCUGUCACGUGAUCCCCGAGCAAAUGUGCGGAUCCACUUGACUACACGAUCAGGAAUGCUAUAACUUUUAAUUACUUAAUUACUUGGUAAAAAGGAAAAUUAACUACUUUGCCAUGCAUUUAAGUCUUUUCUAGGCUUCUUAUUUACUCGGAUCCUUUCGUCUCUUCCUCUUCAGAUCUAUACCUCCUCCCGUUGGUUAGGGCCGAUGGUUCCCUUCCCCUCCGUUUGCGGCUUCAGCGGCGGGAUGGGGGAACCCUAUUUGUUACGUGUUUGACACAUACUUAAGGUUUUAGGUUCCGGAUUUGUGGUGGCGGCGUUUAGGUGGAGGUGGCGGCGUUCCGUCGAACAAUGGUGCCUCGGCUUCAACUGUAUCUCGGUGGCGUGCUUGACGGUGUUAAAGAAUCACUAUUUCAGUGUCGUCGACGGGCAAGUGCUUCUACGUUGUGUGGUGUUGGAUUGGCCAUUGGUUUGUCAUCAACGGCCUCACCUUAUGUGUAGGUUGUUCCCACCCUUGUGUGCAGGUCACCAAUUUUUUCCGGUGAUGCUAGCUCCACCAUUGACACCGGUCAAGGCGCGAACCCCGCCAAUUCGGCUUCUUACCACAAAUCACAUUGUGUGCGACUAGUGACUACUUGUGCGACCACAACAAGGAUUUUCCCUUUAGAGAUCUAUGUCAGUGACACGACUCUUUCUCUUCUUGUGCUCGUUCUCUCCUCCGGCGAUGUGGUAACCACCAAACAAGCGGCAGUUGAUUCAGUUCAAAAGGAUCUUGGGGGCAUAGAUGUACUUCCUUUUUAAGUAAAAAAGGGGAACAACUAUUCUGCAUCAAAAUAUGUAUUUUUCUUUAAUUAAUAUACUCCAUAUACUAAGGUAAAACACUUUUCUAGGACCACCCAUUAUUUAACUCUUGAAGCACUCGACUAGGCCAUAGUUAAACCUCACAUGCAACUCUUUUAACUAUAAGAGCAUCUCUAGGAGACUACCUAUUAUAACCCAAAUCCUUGAGAUCAGCCAAAAACAACAACGUUUGGUGUUUCGACAAAUUGCAUAUCCCAUUUCAAUAGCUACAUUUUACAAGUACUCGCCCCAUAUUCUUAUAUCCAGGAUUUUUGUGUUCUCAAGUUUUAGCUCUCACCUGCCUUGCACUUCCAUCCUCAUCUCAACGGUGUCAUCUCAACCUCCUGUGCCCCCACCCGCCUCGUGUCAGGCGCGUCACCUCACGUACUAUCGUCAUCCUCUUGUGUGUGUGUGUGUGUGUGUGUGCCUGCACUCACUAUAGGUGCAUCUCAAACUCUUGCACCUCCACCCGCCUCCUGUCAGGCGUGUCGCCUCACGCACUACCAUCAUCCUCUUGUGUGUUCCUCUACUCACUGUCGGGCGGCAUUACAAUAACAUCCGCCUGUUGCAUGCACAUACAUUCUCCUAUCAUGUGCAUUGCCUCUCAUUGUGGGCACCCAUCAAAACCUCCCACGCCUCCUCACCCAUGCAUGUCGGGCUCUUAGCCUCCACUCCACAGUCGUGCACCACCCUCCUUCUUUAUCAUUGGUAUAGCCAUGGCCUUCAAAUUCCCCUUGAAAGCGAGAACCUGCUGCCAGGAGUCAUCAAGUUCUUGAACUCUUCCAGCAAGUUGAUUCUGGCCUGUUUUACCGCUGACUUCAAUAUAUUUUCCCGCUACUGAUCAGGGCGCGGGCUGCCGAACUCAGUGUCCAAUGCUUCAAGAUCGUGAUCGCUGAACUUGCUGGGUGACCGAGGUGCUGCCUCCUCAGCAUGUACUAGACUCUUCUCUCCCGGUUUGUACUCAGGAUUGUCGAUGUCAUUGCGCGAGCCCUUGCUUGCACGAUUCAAGUCCAUCUUGUAGCCCUCGUAGGUCGAGGUCAUCUGUCGCUUGCGUAAGGGUGCUAUGGCUAGCGGUCGGCCAUCGACGGACUCGCUGUGCUCCUCCUCCGUGUUUUCAGCUUCCUUGGUGGUGCCCUCCAGGACGUCAGUGAGGUCCUCUAUAUUCAUGAUCAUAUGGGUGGUGGGUGGGUUGAAAAAAUCGACUUCUUCCCAACUCCUAGAUCCGAUUUGACCUUGAGUCCGGGAGAUCCGGCCCCUACUGCUCCUAGAUCUGAAUUAACGCCAAACCUAGAGGAUCAACUCUUCGCGGGAAUCCGCUGAGUACUCUAGAUUUUCGAAUACAACGAUCCGACCUAGAGCAUAGUUCUCGACCUGUCUGAGGUGGCCAAUUGAGUCAGCGACAAGGGUGGUGAUGCCGAAGAUGAACAUUUGGCCCGACACAAAGAUUGCGCUGGAACCGACCUGAGCGUCGAUCUGAACUCGCACCGAACCCCGGAGUUCUCCUAGCGGGGCCUGUAUGGGCCACCGUCGUCGGAACUGGAUCUAGCAGAUCCCUUGGUAGGGUAUCCCAGCUAGGCGAUUUGGUUGGAUGGUAACAUGAGGCAAGGUUUACCCAGGUUCAGACUCUCGCGGUGGAUAUAAAACCUACUCAUGCCUGUGUAUAUUGCGUUGGGGUGUGUACAAAGUAUAGGUGAAUACUAAGGGAUUGCAAUGUGUUCUACGGCAAGCCAACGCCGGCUUAUAUAGCAUACCGGGGGUCCUAGAGUUACAAAUCCUAGUCGACUACAGUGGUGGAGAUAGAGUCCUCCACAGCUCUGGUAUCUUCGGCUUGUCUUCCGGAGUCUUCGUAUAAUCCGACAUGGGUUGCCGAAAGUGGCCUAGGAUGGAGCCGACCUAGGGGUCCUCACACCAGCCCACCGGGCUGAAAAUCAUUGUGGUGAGAGACCCUUGGGCUGGGACGGCGUCAACUUCUGAUGAGAUUAUCAACGUGUUUGAAGAUGGUACUUGUAAAGCUGAAUUUAAACUUAGAGGGGUGUACCUUUAUUGCCAAACAUACAUUGGCAUACACUCAUAUCAGUUCAACUUGUGAGACCAUAUUCUUGUGUGGUGUGUUUGGAGUAAUCAUUAUCUUCCACCCCUGUCGGUGUUCAAAUUCUUGCUCCGCCCCUAGGGGUCGAGAGAUGCUUCCUUCGUGUCUUUCCUUCUUGGUCAUGGGUUCCAAACAAGGUUGGCAUUGAAGCUUUGGAAGAUUCCUUUCGACUCGCGUGCAGCCAUGUUGUAGGCCUAGUACCAUUCCUCGCUGACAAGCACUUCUAGUGAGGGUGUCCUUAGGCUAGAAAGCUUGCUCCUCUUUAGGAGUAAGCGGCCCCUCUAGCUUGCCCUUAGAUACGUGAAAAUAGUUCUUGAUUGUUAGUCAGGAAUUGCCCUCGCACGCAUUCUUUUGUAACCACACCCUUCAAUGUGAGAGGUUUUAAGGUCGCAACAAAAGUAAUUGGAGAAAAUUACCUGCACACAUCAGGUUUUUCGGUUGUUG